UUUUUUUUUUGUGAAUCACAAGCUAGGUGAAUAUGGGAUGUGUGAAUUUCUCGUAGAGUAUCAUCAUCAACCUCAUACGCUGAGUGUCAUCAGCCAAUAAUAUAUGUUGUUUAUGAUGAUUUUAAAAUGGGUCUCACAAAAUAACUAUUGAUUAUAACUUUAUUUUUCUUUGCUCGAAUAGUAAGACCAUGUUACCCCACCCUGAUAUCCUAUGACUUCUACAAACAAAUUAACCUUGGUAUCUCACAUGCAAGAAAACUUGUUCUUCGAUACAAUCGCAAUUAAUAAUUUUUUUAAAAAGUGCAUAUUCAUAUAUACAUUUAUGUGAAAAACAAAGAAAUCCCAAAUAGUACAACACUAUCAGGCCCUCUUCUUGACCUCGAGUACCAACUGCGGCGAUGAACCCUAACUUCUCAUCCAGUUCAUCCAAUAUUUUUUUUGAAACGAACCAGGCAGGAGAGCUGUCGAGUAUAUUAAAAAGAAAGAGUUCCAGACUAGAAAGCUAUAAGAAAAGGAAAAGAAGAGAAAAUAAAACAGACACGGACGGUUGUGUUGGGACAUCAACGCGGGUAGCCACUCCUCUCAAAGCUGCCACACCCGACCGGUUGGAUUGGGACAUCAACGCGGUCUCACCACUCCACUCGCCACGGCGGCACCCACCAACAUCCACGCUCAUAUAUUCGCUGAAACAUCCAGGCGUGGCCCUGCGUCGACAGGGAACCAAUACAAACAGACUGCACCGCACCGAGAAGGCCACCGCCAUGCGAGACCCUCCGUUGUAGUGCCGCUGCAACACUACACUCCAUCUGACAGAGUGAUACCACCGAAUCCAGACCUCUUGCAGGCUGCCUCGCAGUCACCACCGCAAUCACACAACACGAGGGGGCCUCGCCACAUCCACCAUUGGACUCCACCUCGCUCUCGUCGCCUCGAAGAAACACCACGCGUGGGGGUCUCACCACGCCCGCCACAGUACUCCACGUCACGGAUCUGUUUCUUUUGUUGCUGUUAGAGUGGUGAGCAAUGUUACCCCACUCCACAAGAUCUACGUCAACCAGCCUAGCCGCCACCGUAGGUCGACUUCGCCUCGUUGCUUCACCCGCGCCAAAGCAUCCACCACCAUGUCAACAAACCAGAAAAGUCGCUUACGCCGUCUUCCAACGAUGUACCGCACCGGGUAGCCCCGCCAAGUUGAGCAACCCGUCGCGGUCCACUGCAAGCUUAGUUGUCCCACAAUGCCAUUGCCGCAAGCGCUGUCCUCCGACGUAGUCCCACGCCGCACUGACCAUUGCCAAGCAACGCCAACCGUCGCGGUCCGCUGCAAGCGGGAAAGACUGACAACCAUGGGACAAUCUCUAGCCACCACCAUAACUGCGAUCGUCUCCACGUGGCCUCUGCAACACCCAUCUAGCUCACCACACGACGGAAAUAUCACCACCCUCUGCAGUCGUCCAUGACUAAUGGACCAGCAAUGCCGUGUACCGAGAUGGGUCUCUAGAGACGACGCCUCCAAGGAGGGUACAAUGCUAAAGGCGUUGUCAUCGCUUGUCCAGAAUCUAGACAGGGUUUUCACCCAGAGGACCUCGUGCAGCAGUGUUGCAGCUCAAACAUGAUGCCCCCAAACGGGGAGAACAACGCUCUAGGGCGUCGCCGUCAUCUCCACCAGCAAGAACGCCGAUGAGGGCUUUCGCCCGGAGCAUCCCAACCCCUGCACGCUCACGGCUCAACACUCCCGGCCAGAGUCACGGCAGCCCAUCCGGGGCGACGUCGCCGCCGUGCCUCCUCGCACCACACCACCGUACCUCCACCUCCGCUUGCUCGGCAGCAGUCAUCCUCCUCGCGCCGUGCCCUGUGCCACCCCACGCACAGCACCUCCUCCGCGCCGGCAUCACCUGCGCGCCGCUGUCCUCCGCAUCGUGCCCUACGCCGCCCCGCGCGCAGCCUGUGCAUAGCGCCUCCUCCGCGCCGGCGCCACCUCCGCACUGCUGUCCUCCUAGGUGGCGGCUCCUCCACGCCUCCUUCACCGUCGGGCUGAUGUGCCCGUGUCCUAGCACCUCACAACGAGGUCGCGCCUGCCACAAGCGAUCCCGUGGCCCCUCGUUGCGUUCACCGCCACCGUGGCACGGGGACGCCAGAUUCGGGCCACAUGCCCACGCGCGGCACGUCACCAGCCCGGGGACGCCUUGCCUCCACUGCCGGCUGCCACCACGCGCUGGUUCCUCGCCCGUGCCGAGGCCGCCGCCGUGCGUGGACUCCUCAUCCCUGGCCGGGCUCGCCAGCGUUGCGCGCGGCCUCGCUCCCUGUGCCAACUGUCAUACCCGCCGUCCUCCACCCGGACCACCGCCGCCAUGGCGCGUUUCUUCGGCCGGGACAAGCCCACCUACCAGGCCCUCCUCGUAGGCGCCGAGAAGGUCACGAGGACCAUCCCGGUCAUACUCAUAGCCAUCUCCUUCACCCUCGCCACGCGCCCCUUCCGAAAGCGGGAGGAGAUGGCCACGAGUGCUGCCGCCGCCGCCGCUGCUGGUGGCGGCCGGCGGCUCCUCCGGUGGUCGUUCUCACUUGGCCACCUUGCCGGCUUCAACACCUUCUGGUACUCACACCACCUCCUCAUCGUUGUCUACCUCCUGCUCAGCCUCCGCACUGCCCGUAGCUUGCCAAAAAGGGACGGCGGAUCCGGGAGCGUGGAAGCCGGAUCCGCCUAUGGCGGGGCUGGAUCCGGGCCACCGCCGCUCCGGCGCACCGCCCGGCCACAGGCACCUUGCGCCAUCCCUCCCCGGCGUACAGGACCCGCGCCAGCCAGUUUGCCCCGCCGCCACCAUCCUAGGGAGCCGUACGGGCUUCUGGCGACCCCCUCCGACAGCGGCGAGGUGGGCUCGAGAGGCAGGGUGGGUUGGCGGCGGCGGCUAGAGUGCCGCCUGUGUCGCCCGUGGGGGAGCGUCAUUAGCGUGACGUUGAAUGAGCGACACAUUAACGUCCACCUAAUAUCCUUCCUAUACACAAAUUAACGUCCACACAUUCAAGAAACAAAAACAGAAAAAUAUUAUCUCUAUUUUUCAGAUGGACUCGGAACUGUUCUUAAAUAAAAAAACACGUUCCCCUCCCUGUAUCUAUUGGUCUAAUCAUAUAUAACACAUAUUCCUAUUAGAUGCAACUAAAUCAGGUCGUGUCGCUUAAAGUACUUCGUCUGCCUGCCAUGGCGUGGAGUAUGUGGAACGUAUAUGCUGAUGAUCACAAUUUCCGGUAAAUGUAAGGAAGUUAAAGUAGCUGAGAGGAUACAACGGUGCAAAUCGACGGACUCGACAGUACUUCCACUAAACAAAUUGAUGGAUUGCAAUUAUACAAACGUAGUCUGACAACGAUUAGGGAACAUGUACACUGUAGUGACCGCAAUCAAGCAAAUAAUGUUUUUGGAUGUGAUGAGACCGAACACAUUUCAAAAGAUCACAUCUUAUUUUUGUUUAUGCGAUGGUGCAGUAGUGGUUCUAUGCAUAAUAUUAUGCAAUAGAUGAUGGGAGCUUCUGGAUCAAUAUUAGCAGAUUUGUUCCUCCACUAUGGACUUGAUUUGGUAUUUUUAAAAGCACAUACAAACACACCCGUUCUAAAAAGAAUCUCGUAAAAUACACUUGUUCCCUUGAUUGUUAACUUCUCUAAUAAAGCUUCAGAUUGUAAUCGUAAUUCUUCCUUAUUUUGAUCUUGGUCUCUCUUCAGAAAACAAAUGUUGCAAAGCAACAAGUUGAUACCAUUAUUGGUUCAGAGCAAGAAUGGUGCAUUAUUGGCUCUGGUGUUAGGAGUGGUCCGUGCCUGCUUCCUAGUUGGAUCCACAAUCAGGGUCCUUAUCUGAUGACAGAGUAGCUGGUAAGCAUUCUUUGUAUAAUCUUUCCUUGGAGAGAUAGAGAUGUGAUCAAGAAAACAACCACAAUGCUUGCUCAGACAUCACUGACCUUCUCCUAACAUGUCAGUUUGCAUCACCAUGCGAUAAGUAACACGACACCUUUAAGCUACACAAUUGACUUGCAUGCAUCAACAGCAGGAUAGAUGUUGUGAUUCAACCAAAGAAGAAGAAGCAAACAAUUUCUAUUUCUCCUAUAAUCUGGAUUCUACAAAAAUAGAAGCUAGUGUGCUAUAUAGAUCCUUAUGUUUCAUGGAAUUAUCUAACAUAACUGAGUGUCCUGUUAGAAUUCUAGAAAUAUCAAAAAAUUACCUAACAAGUGCACUACUUCUUGCAUCGUUCAUGCAUUAACUUACCUCCCAUGAAAAAUGAUCUUUGAAGUUGGAGCUGCAUUCUUUGAAGUGUACUGAAGAACCUCUUCCUACCACUCAGACCCCGGCAUAGAACCAAAGUACAUUGAAUGUAGACGCAACACGUUAUGCGUCCCAUUCAUUCGCAUACGGCUAAAAGCAUGCUCAUAAUCUAGACUUAGCACCUACUAAAGCUAGGAUCGAUCACGUCAUUGACACCGGCAUACUCAUCUAGGCGAGGCGAGGGAGCAUAACUUGGCAGCACUCGUGUCUACCACCUAGUCGUCUUCAGUUUCUCUUUUCUUAGACGACGCUCCAGUACUACUUGAGCUAACAUAAGUUGCAGAGAUGGCCACGGCAAUUGGAUAUUCCUGCUGGCUUGUGCCGUCCAUGGCGCCGCUGCGUAGACGAUUAUUAACAGAUGCACUGAUCGAUGGCGACAUGCUGAUUAAACUUGGUCUUGUCAUUCCUCCUAGGCCAUGAUAGAGGACGCACUAGCGAGUAGUUGGGGUGUGAUCGAAUGUGAUUAACCUAUGUCUCUUUUCCUGGAAAAUUAUACUAUAUCUGUGCUCGUCGACUGUACACGAUGGAGCCAGGCCUGGCCAUUUAUUUGGUGUACAUGUGCGUGAUGAUGCGGAGGUGUUUAUUUGGAUUUCUUGAUCACUGAUUGGUGCUUGUUAGGCAAAUGUCGAUCGAGCAGGAAAGAUCAGUACUGACAAGGGGUGGUUUGGUAGGUGCGUUCGUGUGUGUGCUAUCCCCGCUUUCCUUUGUGGCGAGUUGUUGGUGAAGGAGAUGGGAUCCUAAUGUUAGGCCAGGAUGGGAUGGGAUCACUCACUCUCAACAAAUGGAAGCACCGCGUAGGGGCUCCUGAUGAGGAUCUCCACAUACUAAUGCAAGUGGCAAUUAUGUAUGAUUAAAGUGGCAUUGCGCGAGCUGAAAUAUUUCCGAUCAAACUUCUGGAGACACAGCGACAGCUCGAUGGUUGCAGAUUGAGAACCCUGAGUGAUGUGAUAGAUAAUGUGUUACUGUUGGCCAAUAGCAUCAAGCGCAUCUGGUGUAGUGGUAUCAUAGUACCCUCCCACGGUACUGACCGGGGUUCGAUUCCCCGGAUGCGCAAAGUUUUUUUACUUCUUUUGCAACUUUUCUCUUUUUCUCCUUUUAUUGUUCUUAUUUAAUUCGGUCACAACUCGCAACGUAUGAACUUCUACUGCAUGUCUUCUAGCGUAGUUUCUCAACCGGAUUUUCGAUCGUCUACCCCCAAAAAAACUUGACUUUUUUUAUCGAUCGCAGUUGCGUUCAACCACAAUCCUGUUUCUGUGUCACCGACGUGCAGCAGAACUGCGGGCCUGAGAUGAUAGAAUGGUACCGGUGGUAGAAUGCGCAUGCGUUGAGAGUAAGUGGGCCGAAAUAGCCCGUGGGCCUUCUGUCAAGCAGCUUUGCUUGGGCUGUGUGACGGUCCAGUGGCACUGAAUCAUAAUGUAACUUUUUUCGAGACUCUGUAUAGACGCCACGCAAUAACGAUUCAGCCUGCGCGCGCCGGCGCUUCCUGGCGCGCGAGGCUCUGACGCCCGCCGCGGGUCCGCAGCCCACGUGGCGACGUGCGGUGGUGCCGCUGGCCGCCGCGCGGACCGCGCCGUGCGCGCCUGAUCAUUUUCUUUUUCCUUUUCCUUUUUCUUUCUAUUUAAUUAUUUUUAUAUUUUCUGUACUCAAGUAAAAUAUCUUAUGCGUAUAAGUCACGUGCAUAAAAUUAUUUAACAACAUUUUCGAAAAGUUGUGGCAACUAUAUGUGUAUAUCAUAAAAGUUAUACUACAAAUUUUAUCACAUACGUGAUGUUAGGAAAAAAUUAUACGUAUAAAUCGUGUGUGUAAGUAUGAAUUUAUAAAAGAAAUUAAAAAGUUUUCUUUUAGAAAUUAUACGUAUAGGUUGUACGCAUAAGUUUUGCAUGCUAAAGUUGUGGUACAAAUUAUCUCAUGAUAAAUUGUUAGGACGAAAUUAUACAUCAUGAUAAUAAAAAAUGGAAAGACGCUUUCCAAGAAUGGAAAGCUCGGGGCUGUCGGGAUCUUUGGCUGAAAAUCUCCCAGGCGCGCGCUAAUUAGGAGGCCCUAGACGCCACGUGCAUGGACGUACGCUUUAUUCCGGAUGCACGCACACCCUAGCUACCACUAUUAUUCUAUUAACGUGUCUAAAAAACAUGACUGUAUAUAUAUGUCUUGUUACGAUCCAAUACGGAAUACAUGGACAUGAAACUCAUGUCAAAUAAAAUAAUCCCAAAACUUUCGUACGUGGUAGCCACUCCACGCACGUCGUACGUAUACCCCCACGGCCCCACCCAUACGCCGUAUGUGCAGACACAGAAUGAAACCAGCAGGUAGCUCAUUAUUAGCUACACCCCUAGCUAGGCAGCGGGCGCUGAGGCAGUCCAUGUCAUCACACCCUACGGGAUGCGCCAACGCAGGCUAGCUAGAUCAUAUGCGCGCGCGCGCGAGGCGCGACGCAUGGCAGGAUCCCGGCCAAAACCCCCCUGCUGCUUGUCCCCGAGCGCAUGCACGCUGCCAUGCACAUAUCGCGUCACUGACGACCUCAUCGGCUCAGCCAUGCAUGCAGCUAGCCGUAUGCAUGCCUGCCUGCGGCUUGCGUGUCCACGGGAUAUUCCCCCCGCCCGCCCUGCGCCCCUGCCUGUGUGCCCCUGGCCCCUGCACGAUGACGUGUGCAUGAUCCAGCGCUCCAAGCUUUCAGGCAACCACGAGAGGCACGCAGCAGCUAUAUAGAGACCCGAGCUGAUAGACAGAUGGGAGACGUGUCUCUGUCUCUCCAGCUAGCUUGCUGGUACGCACACCCAGCACAGAUCACUACUCGGCACUGAUCUUACAUGUACUAUGCUUGAGCUUGACAUGCACCGUAUUGCCCGGCCAUCUAUCAGCGGCAGCAGCAUGCAUGCAUGCAUGCAUACGUUCUGCCAAUGGCAUGUGAGUGUACUUCCCAAAGCUCGUGCGCGAGAGAGAGAGGAGACGUCCGUCCUCAGCCUCGGCGGGCAGCUCGGCUCGAUCGAUCGAUCGCCGUCACGUGAGCUUUGGGAGCUAGUUUGCCGCCCCGAGAAUCCUAGACAGUGACGUACAACGCGCAGGCAUCCGCAUGCAUGCACGUGACCUCAAUCCUGAUCGUAUAUGUACACAUCGGAGCCUAGAGUCCUAGACGUACUCGAUCAGCCAUAUACCAAACGUGAAAUCAUUGCUCGAAAAGAAGCCGGGGACGUUUCUACUUUCGUUUCGACGGGUUACACAUGUACACGAGAUGCGUUGGCGAAGAUACUGUUGGGGGCUAGUUUGUCAGGUAUCUAGCUAGGGCGCCCUAGGCACCUCUCGCUACCAUAUAUCUGUACAUACACAGUUCAAUAAUUGAAGGACGACGAGCGCGUUUUUUGUAUUUUUUAGUGGUGCAUACGUGUAUGUCAGUCGCGCAUGCAUCUAGUUCCAGUUCAAAAGCAGCCCAUCGAUUCCCAGUAUCAACUGUAUCUAGCAAGAGUCGUUUAAUCUGAUCGAGAUACAUGCAUGUGUGAACCUGCAAAAAGUACGCAAACAAAGUCCAACUUUUUUACAACAAAGGAAAGAUUCAAAGAUUAAUAGAAGAUUUUCGAUGGGAUAUGCGAUAUUAUAUUAUCCAGUUAAUUAUACUCCUUCCGCCUAUUUAUAAGGUGUGAUAUGACAUGGCACGGUCUCAUAAAUUAAAGAGUGACCAUUCGUUAUCUUAUAUUAUAUUGUUUAUGAUUAUAAACUUACUCCCCGUUGGGAGGGUUUCUCCCAAAACGGCUUCACUGGUGAAGCCAAAGCCGAUGAAGCCAAAAAUAACGGCUUCACCCGGCUUCCAAUUCAUUUUAGCAUUGGCUUGCAAAACAACUUCACACUACAGUGCCUCAUUUUGUGUAAAACAUGGAAAGUCGAAGCCAAAAUAAACCCUACCAAACGGGGUCUUAUAAUUAUUGGAGAGUAUUUGAUUACAAAUCCAAUCGUGUCAAGUUUGCAUUAAAAAAUAAAAGGUUGUUAGAUAAAUUAUUAGUCAAAGAUUGUAAAGUUUGAAUCUUGAUAUGCGUGUGCCCUUUAUAAAUAGAAACAGAGGGACAUUAGUUAGUAAGACUCAAGACAUGUACGGCAAUGUUUGUUGACAGCAGAAACAGAAAAAUGCUAUAUUAGGACAGAACAUGCAAUUCAUUUCCCCCCUGCAAGUUGCAUUUGUCACCAUCUCUGUACAAGUGUCGCUAAUAGUGCUUUGAAUUAUUGCUGUCCCGCGUUUACUGGUGAUGAUAUAUAAGCACCAGAGAAAGAACUUCUGCCUUUGCCUUAAUAAUAAGGGCAUGUGCAGCAACGGAGCAUUGGCUACAUAUGCAAUUAAUAACGUACAGUAACUUUUCCAGAAUACGAUCGACUUAUCAAGAGUUUCUGGCUGCCUCACGAGAAACUAAAUACAUGAAACAAGACAAGUCCAUUUCACGCAAGGCAGUGCAAGACAAAAGGUCAGGCUUGCGAGGAUAUGGGCCAAAUGCGAGUACUUGCCAAUCUGUGCGUACCCAACAAAACCUCAACAACAGUCCGAGUUCACGAGAUGUUUGUCAAAAUUCCAUGCAGCCAAACAUCGGCUCAGAACCCUGCUUCCCCUGCCACAGCCUGACCCUGCCCCAACUCUGUCCACAGACAGGUACUACCACAGUGUCCGCACUGUAAUCGAAUUGGAUAGCACCAAUAGCGGCCUUCUCUUUGAGAGACGUACAGUACACUGAUGGAGGUAUCGUUACUUCGGUACUAAAGGAGGUCUUUAUACUAAAGGAGGUCUUUAGUACCAUUGUGCAACCGUUAUUGUUACUUCGGUACUAAAAGGGAGCCUUUAGUACCGGGUCAAAUAACCGGUACUAAAGGGGUAUUAAAAACAAUCUGCCGACCGGAGCCCCGGCACCCCGUCGUUGUCCACCCGAGCGCCAGAGCCCCGGCCGCACAACACCUGAACCCCGCACCAGAGAGGAGGGGGGGAGGGGGGGGGGGGGAGAAGGAGGGAGGCGGUGUACUUACGCUGCUCAGCCACUGCCGCCCGUUGCCGCCGCCGUCGCUCCUCAGCCCGUCGGUUGCCGCCGCCGCCGGGUCUGUGGGAGAGGUGUUCGCUACUCCAAGAUCCACGCGCUCCUUGCUCCACCACGCCUGCUGACGCGCCGCCGCUGCGUCCUCCCGCCGGAGCUCCGCCGCCGCUCCUUGCUCCACCACACCUUGCCGACGCUCUGUCGCCUUGCCGCACCAUAUCUUCUUGCCUCCGCCGCUCCUUGCCCUGCUGCCGCUCCUCGCCACAUGUAAGAGGUGAGGGGCGAGCGGAGGGGGGAGGAGAGGGGCGGUGAGGGGAUCGAUCUGUGUGGGGGGAGAGAGGGCGGGGAGAAGAAGAGAGAGAGGCGCGGAUGAGUGGCUGGAUGAGGGGGGGACGAGCGGAUAAGUACGUGUGGGGAAGGGGGUGAGCGUGGGAGAGGUACCCUUGUAGUACUGGGUGGAGGCUUCACCCAGUACUAAAGGCCCUCAAGUACAUUAGUACCGGUUGGAGGUUUCAACCGGUACUAAUGGGUGACCUUUAGUACCGGGUGAAGCGUCCACCCGGUACUAAAGGGCGUCACGAGGACUCCUCAGGGACUAGCCGUUAGACCUGGUACUAAUGCUCAUAUUAGUACUGGAUCAAAAUACAACCAGUACUGAGUCUCGGACGAAUGCUGAGUUUUCCAGUAGCGGUACGUUAUCACCAAUGACAAUCAGUUUUUCCAUUGUAUAGGUCUGUGCGACGAAUGGCUACCAGCUAAUGACUGAUCCACACACGCGCUUGCUCGAAGCAUCUUCAUCUCCAGUGCUCCAAUGAUUUUUUUGAAGCAAACAGUGGUCCAAUAUAAUUUCUAUGAUCGACGCUUAGAGAUGGACAAGAGCUUUACUAUACAAUAUAUAUUCUUGUAUAAUACCCUCAUGUGGGUUUGUUGGAUUAUUUUAAGCCAAGGAGAUAAUCAAUAAUAAUGAACUUUAAUUAUUGACACCCCUCUAUUUCUUUCUUUCUUUCUAUAAGGUGUAUUAGGAUUUGAAAACGUCUUACAAAGUAUAGCUUGAUCAUUAGUUUCUCUUCCGAUAUAUUUGGCUACUAACCAGUAUAUUAUUAAAAAAAUAUGUGAAAUACCAAUGUUUUGCAUAUUUGCAUCUAUUCUACAAUACUAAACGUACACACAAGUUAACUAACUGCUGGUCUGUUCACAAUUUAUAUAGUUUAAUUUGACUUUUUAAAAAUCUUAAUAGCUAGUCCCCCACAUUUAAAAUGGAGGAAGAGUAUGUAUCUUAUUAUGAGUACGUAUUAAGCUUGUGUUGAUUCAGAGUCGAUCUCAAGACAACAAAAUGCAAGUUGCAGAUUACUCACGACGCCAUGCAUGGAAGAAUACAACCUUGACAUCUGUCAUGGUCCAUAUAUAGCUAAACAUCCUGCUGGUAUGGGGACUUGCAUGUUCGGAAGUGAUAUGGUUUAUUAAUCAGAAAUAUUAUUUUUGCUUUGAUUAACCAGUGGUCAGUGGUCACCACUGCAUGCAUGCAUGAUCCACUAAACGGGCUGUUGAUUACUAGCAGUAACGAACUCCAAUUUGAUGUACGUGGGAGACUAGCUAGGAAGCUUAUAAUUGAGCUAGAGUAGCUUAUAACUAGGGCUUGAUCUUAGAGAGUGGGACCGAGAGCAUAUCACAGCUCAGCAGCAACGCACAUUCCCUGCACUAGCAAAGGGGAGGAUGACGUCUGCCCAAUAAACUAGCUAGGGGAAUGUGUGGAAUGUUGCUGUCACCACAGACAGAUCGAUGACGAUGGGAAAAAAGGGUCACCUCAGGUUGAUGGAUGUGAAAAUUUCUGUGCGUGGUGCGGAGGAGAGAGAUGAGAGAGGGAAAGAGGGCAGGGAAGGAGCUAUCACAUUCUCUCUCUCUCUUCUCCCCUACAUGCACAAAUUUCCAGCAAGUGGGACACCUCCUCAUUGUUCACUUAUGCGACGAGGGCAGCAGUCAAAUCAGGCAAUGGAAUCUUCGUAUGUGAGCCCCUAUCACUUACUUGUAACCAUAGCCAUUUGGGUAAUUCAGUCAAGGCUUGGUUAAACGCACCUCUGCUAUUAUACUUCAAUCGUGCAUUUUUAACAGCAGCAAAUUAAAACACAACAACUAGCCCAGCUUUGCGUACUGAUCGAUCGUGCUGAUCGAGUACUUGACAGGAGUCCCACACCAACCGAGAGGCUAGCUACAUGCACGCACGGCACGCCGCCGCGGCGCCCAUGACUGGACGACUAGAGUUAGCGCUAGCGUCGCAUGUGAAUACAUGGCCUGUACGAAAGGGUCCAGCGGUACGUGACAGUGUGACGACACUCGCGUCCCCUGCGCGGCAUGCAUGGGGACAAGUAAUAAGCUAGGCCCCGGCACGCUGCUGAUCAGUCAUCACACGCCAUGCCGUGCCAUAGCGGGACGCCGGGACAUCCACGUGCAGCGCGCUGCGCGCGUCGAUCGGAACGGCCAGCAGCGGGCACGACCGUUUCCCACCCCGCGCGCGCGCCCGCGAGCGAGAGGCAUAUGCAGCUAGCUCGGCGGCAAAUCAAGGGGUGGUGCUUGGCCUGGGCCUCGUCACGGGGAGCACGAGCAGUCGAGCACGUACGUACACCCCGCGUGAUCGCUCGCGUAUAGGGGCGCACGAUAUUUGGUCGGAGGAUAAUGAGCAUGCAUGGGGGGCGAUCGGUCUCUCCGUGACUCCGUCGAUCAGCCACGCUGGAUACGAUGGCGCGUGUUUGAAUCAGCGGAACGCCUACGCUGCGUUCAUGUCAUGUAUGCGGUGUCGUGUGCAUGCGCUUGCGGAGUUAUAUAUACAUGCGGACGAGGUGGUGGACGCGGAUUGAUCAAUGGGUUCCGAUGUCGUUUGGGGGCAAAGGGAUAGCCGCGCGGAAUGUACGUCGAUCAUACUACCGUUAAGCCACCGCCACCGCGCGGGCUACCGACCGGCCGGCGAUGGUCGGUGAGCCGGCGUGGGAGAUGAUGGACCGGCGAUACACAGCGUGCAUGCCCCUUUCAAAACUUGGUCAUACUUAGCCGGCUUGCCGCGUGAUUCAUAUAUGCGUGUGCACUUGCAUAUGACGCUUGACGCGUCAGUUUUUUGGAGCUUGAGCUUCAUCUUAAAGCACACUAGCUUCCAUGAUCCCAUCUAGCUUAUAAGUCCAACAGUGUCGUAAGACGUAUUGAGAUGGAACCAGUCCGCCCAGCUUUGAGUUUCGGCUCACCUUGGGUGCUCAUAUUUUUCAUCCAACCUUUUUUUUCAGCGAUAGGUGACUGCUGAUAAAACAUUUUGGAUUUCAUCAAUCUCAAGAUCCGCCGACCCAUUCGCUCGAAGACGUUCAGAAAAGGGAAAUAUAAUUCAAAUACAUCAAAAUUUUCUCGAAGAUUUUUUGAAGAAAGAAAUCCAAAGAAAAUGCUAAGAGCUCAUUAAACAAGUUCCAUAAAUUUCAAAUAAAAUAUUAAAUAACUUUAGAAAACAAUUUAAAGAUUUAUUGGGUAUCUUAUUUUUCAAUUAUAUAACUUGUUCACGAGCUCUAGUUAUUUCUGUGGGAUUCCUUAUGUCAAAAUUAUCACUAGAAUUUUUCUAAAACUUCUGAAGGUAUUUGAGUUUCGUUUCCUCUUUUAAAUUAAAUAUUUUUCUCUCACAUCAGCCCUUAACCGCUUUCACUGGCCGAGGGGCCAAAACUAGACAAUAUUGGAAGUUGGGGUAAAUACCAAAACUAGAAAGUAUUGGUAUUUGGGUCAAAUAUUAGAAAAACUAAAGAGUUGAUGGGCCAAAAUGAUUUUUCCUAUACAUUAAUUGCCAAAUAAUUUAAACUCUAGAUGCCUUCGAUUCAAACUAUAAAUAUAUCUAGGUUUACUGAACCUUUUUUUUUUGCGAAACACAGUAUCCUCCGAAAGACCGAUCCGGCAAUAACCACUGGCGUCCUGUUAUCGACGGGCACAUCGCCUACCACUUAAAAAUAGCACCGGUUAAAUCCUGCAAUAAAUCUAAAAAUAAUGUGAGCAACGGUACCGAGUUGAGGACUGAAAUCCUGGUGGGCAGAUUCCACCAUAAAGAACUUUACUGAGUGUAACUCAGUUCGCUAUGACCAUCAAUUUUUUUAAGUAUCUUUGACCAUCAUUGGCCAAUAGAUUAUAUAGAUUUACAGUAUAUCGUUUAGUUAUUUAACUAGAUUUAUUAUAGAAAUACUUCCAUAAUAUAUAAUAUUUUUAUUUAAAAUUACUUUGUUAACACAUGAUAACUUAUUCCGUUACAUCUUUUCGGGUAGUUACAUCUUUUAGCUUUGAGCGCCAAUAGCCAAUAAGCACAGGGAGCAGCUCCCGCAAAUUAAACCUAUAUUUUUCUGCAGGAAAAAUUGCGUCCACAGACGUACAAUCUGAUUAGACUGCCAGUUCAAUUAAUCGGUUGUCCCCCGUCACAACACAACAAACGGGCGCUAACUCAUGAACUCUACAUUUUUUUUCUUUAUUCUGCCAGCCAUUAGUUUGUUGCGAUUGGCACGUGUGGGCUGGCGCCAACACGAGGGGAACAGACAAGGCGCGGCCGCAAAAUCUACCCCCGUGAAAGCAUUUCCUUUGGAGCCUUGUGAUGCUAGCCGCUGCAUGCACACCUCAUCGCUUGCAAAAACAAACAAAGUUCCCGAGUAGUAUUAUCGUGCCAUAAAAUGUUGAUCUUCCAUGCAUGCCGUUCCAUGGAGUCACAAAAAUACAGCUAGCCAAGCACACGGAUCGAAUUCUCUAGAAAUAGACCAUGACUAAAUAAAGUACGCAUAAAAAUAUUGCACCAAGAUUCUCCAAAAUAAAAGGGCAUCAAAGAAUACAAUCUUGGCCUCAAAGAAAUUUGUCUAUCAUUGCCACUGGAGCCACAGAAUCCUGCGAGUUCUGACUAAAAGGUGCUUGCACAUCAAAAGGCAAUAAAAGGGUACCCUCGAUUAUAAUCUGUACGAUAGGUAAUAGAUUUUGAUACAUGAGUCAUUAUUCUCGGUAAUAGUUAAUAAUCUUAAUAUUAUUUGUGGAUAGUAAAAAGACUAACAUCAUAACCACUUCGAUCUUUGGUACUCUCUCCGUUUCAAAUUGCAUGUCGUUUUGGCAUUUUAGGUACAUAAUUUUUUCCUACAAUUUGGAAUGGAUGGACUGGGCUAUGCUAUAGAAACAGAGUUAGUCUUAUAUACUUUUCUUAUACAAUGAGCGGCUGAAGUGUUCAGGUGGUGAAGGCAGUGCCAGCAUAAUAGGGAGGCAACACGAUAGCUCUGCACCCCGGACAAUGAGGAGGCCCAGAUACAAUCACGCUACAAUAGGAGAAGCAGAGAGAAGAUGGAGGAUGCACUUAAUUAGGCAGUUAUAGGUAUGCGAGAACUGAAAACUCAAAUUUCAAAUGGUUAGAUAACAAAAAUUUUCUGAUGGAGUCCACAGAUGUUUGGUCCAACCUUGUCAGGAUGUAGCUACUUUUAAAUUUAUUCUAAGUUAAAAUGUUUUAUAUUUAACUACCAAUAUCUCUAAAGUAAUUUAUUUCACAUAAAAACACACAUGAUGCUAUGAUAGUUUGUUUCAUGAUUUCUCUGCUAACAUCAUUUUUACGUUACCAAUCUUUAUGAUUUUUAUGCUAUUAAUAUUAUUAAAGUUAAAAAUUCUUUUGACGGACAAAUAUAAAAGUAGCUAUAUGAAAACCGAGAGAGUAGAUGCUCAUAACAAGUUGGUCAGUUCAGUUGAAAAUCAUCUAAACAAAGAUUGCCUCGAAAAAGAAAAUCGUCUGCAGAAGCAGAACUAUUCGCUUGCCCCUGCUGCAUGUUGCCUUAACGUGAUGGGCGUGAAUGAUAUGGUCUCUCUUGUUAGAUAUUUGAGCUUGGUCCAUAUAAAUCAUUCUGAAUAAAUCUCAAAGGUCCAUUAGCGUAGGAGGGAUGCACCAUCUAUUAGUCAUGUAUUGCUAAUAGAUGAGGGUGCGGGGGUUUCCUCCCUAUAAGUAUGGACCAACCCCCUUAUGGAAAAAAUGCACCAUAGACUACUAUACGGGAAAGCCCCCAGGUUAGGGUAUCCCUAAGGUGGUCUAUACGAGUUAGUUUUUGCUGCGCCACCACUGUGGUCUUCUCCAUUCCGUUGCAUCGGUGUGUACCGGCGAGCAGGAGAGCAGGUCUCCGGAACCACUCGUCCUUGUGAUCCUGCAUCAGGAGAGAGCGAAUAAGGUUUUUGGAAAGCGCUCCGCAUGACUGCUCAAGUUCGUCAUCACAGCUCGUUCUCCGUCCAAGUCAGGCGUUGCAACGCAUCCUCACCUUCAGCACUGGCUGCUGUGAUCCGUCCGCAACACCGUCGUCAUCCCGUCAGCACCUCUCGUCAUCACGUCUUCUGGUAUGUUAGAGUUUUGCAUGCUAGAAUUGUCUCUUGUCAUGAUUUAUUUAUUUCCGAAAUUAACACAACAAUUGCCUCAUUAUCCAACAAUCCAAAAACCUUAAAAUAGGCAAUCUGUUGAUUUUUCGAUGACUGGUUUUGCUGAGUCACUGAGGCCAGAAAAGUUUUCUGGUGUGAACUUUAAGAUAUGGCAAUCAAAGGUUCGUCUAUGGCUUAAUGCGAUGCACAUCUGGGACACAAGAAAAGGCAAACCAGAAGGCGAACUGACUGCUGAGCAGCAGCAGAAGUUCGCGGAUGCCAAUAAUCUUUUCGUGGGAUGUAUCAUCGACGUGCUCUCUCACUGUCUGAUUGAUGUCUAUGUGGACUCGACAGAUACAAAGGAGUUGUGGGGUGCUUUAGUUACAAAGUAUGGUGGAACAUGGAGAGCAUCCAUGACUACAGGAUGGUGAACAACCGUUCUAUAGUAGAGCAAGCGCAUGAGGUACAGUGCAUUGUGAAGGACCUUGAGCAACUCAAGUGUGAGAUACCCGGCAAGUUUGUGAUUGGAUGCAUUAUUGUAAAAUUUCCUUCCACGUGGAGGAAUUUCGCCACAACUCGAAAUUUAGGAGACAGGAGAUUGUUGAAAACCUGAUAUCAUCUCUUGAUGUUGAGGAGAAGGCUCGGAUGAAAGAUGCUACUGAUAAAGGAGAUUAAGGCUAGUCUAGCGUCAACAUGGUGCAGUAGUUUCCACGCAACAAGAAUAAAGGGAAAAAAUAAGAUCAUUAAGACUACUACCUUCAAGAAGAAGAAUAUGAACAAAGCCGAGUUGUCUUGCUAUACCUGCAGCGAGUUGGGACAUUUCUCAAAGGAUUGUCCAGAUCGCGUAGAUCGCAAGGAUAAAAGGGCUACUCAUGGAUCUGGAUCCAAGAAUGUCAACACAGUGACCAUAGGCAACACUGAAGAUGGGUAGGUAAUUUACCUACUAUUCUUUCAGUUUUUCAAUCUACCAGUUGGUGGCUUGAUACGGGUGCCAAUGUUCAUGUGUGUGGUGACAUAUCUAUGUUCUCUUCUUACCAGGUCGCUCAUGAUUCCUCCGUCCUGAUGGGGAAUAGGUUACAUGCUUCUAUUCAUGGUGUUGGCACGGUAGAUCUGAAGUUUACUUCGGAAAAAAUUAUGCAGCUAAGGAACAUGCAGCAUGUCCCUACUAUCAACAAGAAUCUUGCGAGCGGCUCGGUCCUGUGCAAGGACAGAUUUAAGGUAGUGUUAGAGUCCAAUGAAUUAGUCGUGUCGAAACAUGGACAAUUUGUUGGUAAAAGUCUAUGAUUGCGGAGGUUUGUUCCACUUUUCCCUUGCAAAUUUUUGUAAUAAGUCAGUGAACUAUAUUUGUGACAAUGUUAGUGAUGAUGUGAGUACUUGGCAUCCACGUCUAUGUCACGUUAAUUUUGGUUUGAUGUCUCAGCUUUCCAGCAUGUGUUUAAUUCUAAACUUCACCAUUGCUAAAGGUUCUAAAUGCCAUAGUCGUGUGCAAUCGAAACCACCUUGGAAGCCUCACAAGGCAGUUGAGGAGAGAAACUUGGCACCUCUAGAACUCAUACAUUCUGAUCUCUGUGAGAUGAAUGGUGUAUUGAUAAAAGGUGGAAAGAGAUGCUUCAUGACAUUGAUUGAUGAUGCGAUUAGAUUUUUCUAUGUUUAUUUGUUGCAAACUAAGAAUGAAGCGUUAGACUACUUUAAAAUCUAUAAAGCUGAAGUUGAGAAUCAACUAGAGAGAAACAUUAAGCAUUCAAGGUCAGAUCGUGGUGGCGAAUAUUUUCCUAAAAUUUUUGAUGAAUUCUGUGAGGAACAUGGUAUUAUUCAUGAGAGGACGCAUCCCUAUUCGUCUGAAUCAAACGGGGUUGCUGAGAUGAAAACCGCACGCUAACUGAUCCUGGUUAACGCCAUGUUAGACACUGCUGAUUUAUUUAAGGCAUAGUGGGGUGAGGCUUUAUUGACUUCAUAUCAUGUCCUGAAUAGAGUUUCGAACAAGAAUAAAGAGCAAACUCCAUAUGAGAUGUGGGUUAGGAGAAAACUUUCACUUUCUUAUUUGCGCACUUGCAGGUGCUUGGCGAAAGUCAAUGUAUCAAUUUCUAAGAAGCGCAAGUUGGGACCUAAGAUAGUGGAUUGUAUCUUUCUAGGAUAUGCUUAGAGGAGCAUUGCCUAUAAAUUUUUAGUAGUUAAAUCAGAGGUAUCUGAUAUGCAUGUUGAUACUAUUCUGAAAUCUCGUGAUGCAACAUUCUUUGAGAAUAUUUUUCCUAUGAAAGAUAUGCAUAUCACUUCUAGAUUUUCCUCUGAGAUAAUUCUUGAACCAAUUGCAUCUAUUGAGUCUUCUGAACAAUUUGAUGAGCAUGAGGAGGUCAUUGAGAAGGAUGACAAUGAGGCUCCUAGAAGGAGUAAGAGACAAAGGAUUGCAAAAUCAUUUGGUGAUGAUUUUACUGUGUACCUUGUCGAUGAUACACCCACAUCCAUUGCUGAGGCAUUUGCAUCUCCAGAUGCAGAUGAUUGGAAAGAAGCUAUCCAUAAUGACAUGGACUCAAUUCUUUCUAAUGGAACCUGGGAGCUCACUGAAUGACUCUAUGGCUGCAAACCACUGAGUUGUAAAUGGGUGUUAAAGAAGAAGCUUAGACCUGAUGGUACUAUUGAGAAGUACAAGGCACGACUUAUGGCCAAAGGCUACACACAAAAAGAAGGCGAAGAUUUCUUUAAUACUUACUCACCUGUCGCUAGAUUGACCACAAUUCGAGCACUACUUUCUUUGGCUACCUCAUAUGGUCUUAUUGUCCAUCAGAUGGAUGUAAAGAUAGCUUUUUUAAAUGGAGAGUUGGAUAAGGAGAUCUAUAUGGAUCAGCUUGAUGGAUUUGUGGUGAAGGGUCAAGAAAGUAAAGUAAGGUGUGUAAGUUAUUGAAGUCUUUGUAUGGCCUGAAACAGGUGCCUAAGCAAUGGCAUGAGAAGUUUGAUAGAACUUUAACUUCUGCGGACUUUGCCAUAAAUGAGGCUGAUAGAUAUAUGUACUAUCGCCAUGGUGGGGACGAAGGAGUUAUAUUAUGCUUGUACGUGGACGACAUACUAAUCUUUGGUACGAAUAUUGAUGUGAUCAAUGAGGUAAAGUGUUUUCUACCAAAGAGUUUUGAUAUGAAAGAUUUAUGAGAAGCUGAUGUUAUUCUGAACAUUAAGCUGAUUAAGGAUGAGAAUGGGAUUACUCUUUCGCAAUCCCAUUAUGUGGAGAAGAAUUGAUCCGCUUUGGCUACACGGACAACAAGCGUUCUCCAACUUCUUAUGAUCCUAGUGUGAUACUUCGAAAGAUUAAGAAAUUUGCGAAAGAUCAACAGAUUAUUGGUUCACUCAUGUACUCCCUCCAUACCGUUUUACUAGGCGCGAGAGGCAUCAUACCAGAUACCAAGAUGACGUAUUAACUCAGCCAGACUAACCGGCACGUGGCAUGCACGGAGUAACUGCCUCAUGCAUGCAGGGAUGUAUUAACUCUCCAUUUCCUACCUGUUGUGCAUAUUUUUCACUCCUAAACUGAGUUGGCGCUCUUUUUCUCUCGUUUUUAGUACACCCAAGUAAUUAAAGGAUCCUCGAUAACCCAGCUCGCUUCCUAUACUAGUAGAUUUGAAAAAUGGGUGCGCCUGGUUAAACAGUACAGAGGGAGUACUUAGCUAGUGCAACGAGACCCGACAUAUCUUUUGCUGUGAGCAAAUUGAGCAGGUUCAUAUCAAACCCGGGUUUUGGUCAUUGGCAUACACUUGAAAGGAUUAUGCGCUACUUGGUGGGUACUAUGAGUCAUGGGAUUCACUAUUCUAGGCACCCUGCUAUGCUUGAGGAAUAUAAUGACUCGAACUAGAUUUCUGAUGCUAAUGAGCUUUAUGCCACGAUGGGUAUGUGUUUACCCUUGGAGGUGGUGCAAUAUCAUGGAGGUCUUGCAAAUAGACCAUUCUGACGAGGUCAACCAUGAAGGUAGAACUUAUUGCUUUAGAUACAACCGGUGUUGAGGUAGAGUGGUUGCGUGAGCUCUUGAUGGACUUGCCUGUGGUUGAAAAACCAGUGCCGGCUAUCCUUAAGAACUGUGACAAUCAAACUAUGAUAGUCAAAAUGAACAGUACUAAAGAUAAUGCAAAGCCAUCAAGAUAUGUCAAAAGACGACUGAAGUCUGUCAGGAAAUUGAGAAACUUCGAAGUAAUAAGUGUGACUUAUAUUCAAACAGAAAAAAACAAAAGAGCAAUCACGGAAUGUGAUAGAAAGUGCAUCGAGGGAGAUGGGUAUGAGACCCGUUUGAGUUGCCAUAGUGGUAACCCAACCUAUGUGAUCGGAGAUCCCAUGAAUUAGGAUAUGAGAAAAACAAACUUUUGGUUAACUAAGGAGAGUAAUUAUUUAACCCUCUAUAAGUGAAGAUGCAAUACUCUCAAAUAUUGUAAGGCAUGUGUGCUGUAAGGCAGGUUGGCUAUAUGCCUUAAUAUGAUUCUAUUGGCUUUGAUAAGUGAAGAUACUAUCUUACGGAGCAUUCUUGAAAGAACACACCUAUAUGAGUUUGGCUGUUAAACGUCGUAGUCUAUGAGACUUGGGUGAUCUCUAGUAAGCUCAUGAAAGAGAUCAGGGAGUACGACGUAUGCGCUCCACCCACGGAGUAGGCUACUGGCAGCCAGGUACUGGUUAUGACUUGGAGUGAAACUUGUCCGCACAAAACUAGCAAUUCAAGGCAUAGUCCAUUGCCAAAUCGUGGAUGAGUAUAGCUUGAAGCUCUAGGCAAGAGUUCAACUUAACAAUCCUUGUUGAAACACUAGUAUAUCAAACAGUAGUGAGAAACAUGCAAAACACCUAAAUGGGUAUUUGAGAUCUGGUAGGAGAUUGUUAGAUAUAUGGGUUUGGCCCAUUGUCGUUGUCAAGAUUAGUGGAUCAAGACUAAGACUAGUAAAUUUCUUUUAUGCGCGUAAGGCUUCGGAUGGUGGCGUGGGAGACACGGGGUUUAGACUGGUUCGGGCAAGGUAAUACCCUACGUCCAGUGUCGGGAGCUGCUCGUGUUGCCCACGCGGGGUUCUGUAGUAGGGGUUACAGGAGUGCGCGAGAGGGAGCUGAUCCCAGGUCUCUUGGGUAUGCACUAAUGCUCUAGGUGGGUAUGAGUGUGUUUUGGUGGCUUGGAAGCGUCGUUGUGCUUUUAGUUGUCUCUCCAGCCUCCUUUGUCUCAGGCCCCCGGUUCUCCUUUUAUAGCGCAAGGAGGCCACCGAGGUUACAGGCGAGACCGGGUGUGAGGAGAAGUAAAAGAGAUAAACAAGGCUAGGUAAAAAUACAACACAAGGGGAAGGACCAAGUCCCUAGGCCACCGGUGUCCUCGCCGGCCUUCGGCCCUUGCUGGCGCAUCUACCGGAGGAGGGCGGCCGCCGUCGCGUCCUGUCGAUGGUCUCCUCGGCGGCUGUAGCAGCCGGGUGUGAUGAUGGCGUUUUGUCAUGGCACCUGUGUCCGUUGGGGGAGGCGGUGAAUCCCUCCAUCUUGCUGACGGCCCGCGGAAGGCGGACGUCGCGUCCCUGCCGCCGGACGCGCGAGGCGCGAGAACGAGGGAGGCCUGCUCCGGGCGGCGCAGGCCAUGAGUGCCCUGUAGCGAAUCGGAGGAGGUCGCAGCCACUGUAGCUUGUACUGUGCAGCCGCGCAUUGGUACUUGUGGCAGGUUUCGUUGGGGACGCGGAUAUCCUUCUUCCUGACAGAACUGCGGUGCAUUUAUGGCGAGAUCGACAGGGGGACCCACGAGAUCCGCGCCCAAGGUGGAUUCUUGUCUGGAGGGCCCGGGUGAGCCCGACCCCCUGUGCCCUGAGUCGGGCGAGGCGGAAACUUGCAGCGGGGGGUCGGGCGCUCCCGACCCCAGGCCCGCGGGUCGGGCGAGGCGGAGCUUGGUCUUCAAGGGGUCGGGGGCGCCCGACCCUGGGACAAGGGGUCGGGCGAGGCGGAGCGUGGCUCUCGCCUCCCAUAUUGGGCCGACGGCAGUCUUUAUUACCUUAUGUGGGCCUGGGUCUUUAUGUUUUGUUGUUUCCAUGGGCUUUGAGAGGUCGUUAAUAUUUCCCCCCAACACCCAUAUAAAUAAUCCUUAAUAAAUCUCAAAAGCCCAUUAGCGUAGGAGGGGGUGCACCAUCUAUUAGUCCCGUAUUGCUAAUAGACGAGGGUGCGAGGGUGCGGGAGGUUUUCCUCCCUAUAAAUACGGACCAACCUCCUCAUGGAAAUAAUGCGCCAUAGACUACUAUACGGGAAGGUCACCAGGUUAGGGUAUCCCUAAGGUAGUCUAUAUGAGUUAGAUUUUACUUCUUCUAUACUGUUGCGCCGCCACUGUGAUCUUCUCCAUUCCGUUGCGUCAGCGUGCACCGGCGAGCGAGAGAGCAGGUCUCCGGAACCACUCGUUCUUGUGAUCUUGCACCGGGAGAGGACGAAUAAGUUUUUUGGGAAGCUCAAGUUUGUCAUCACGACUCGUCUUUCGUCCAAGUCAGGCGAUGCAGCGUACCGUCGUCUUCAGCGCCGGCUGCUGCGAUCCGUCCGCAACACUGUUGUUGUCCCAUCAGCACCACUUGUCAUCACGGCUUCUCGUAUGUUAGAGUUUUGCAUGCUAGAAUCUCUUAUGAUGAUUUAUUUAUUUCAGAAAUUAAUACACCAAUUGUCUAAUUAUCCGACGUCUCUCCCCCGCCAGCUGAGACUGAGAGCCCCGCUCGACCUGCCUUUGUCGCGGUCGAUCCUCCCUCAGAGUCCGAUCCGUUCCAAUGCUGCCGCUGCCACUCCGCAACAACGCGCCGUCGUCGUCGUCCCUGCUGCUGCGCGCGCGGCGUGUCCCCCCGUCCGCUCACGAGCAGAUUCCCCUUCGCCGCGCGCUGCCCCCACCACCCGACCCGGCCGGCUCCCUCGCUCGCUCGUGCGCGCGCGCGACGACGACGUCACCGCUCACAAGUCACAAGCCGCUAGCGUUCUGGCAGUCAGGCGAGUACCACCACCACAAGUCGACGGAUCACCGAUGAUGACACACCACGGUUCGGCUAGCGCGCGCCCUUCUCCCCCUCCGGCCGCGCUCCGGGCUCCGAUCCGGCGUUGUCACAUGGCAGAUGGUGCCCGGCACGCCGGGGGGCGCGCGCGAUGGCGUGAUGGUCUCUCUCUCUCCCUCACCGCACCAAAUUUUAAGGUUAUCCCUGCCGGCCGGUUCUGCAAGCGCAGGGCACGCAGGCAGGCUCCAAGUUGCAAGGAAGCAAACAGGGGGGGGGGGGGGGGGGGGGGGGGGGGGGGUCGCGCGGGCUCCAUGCCAUGGCAGGGCAGCUUUUAUUUUAGGCUCUCGCGAGCCGCUGCCAAAUUGAUCGAGCCGCCAAGAGGGCCUGCUGUAAUAAUAAAGUGUAAACUAUAAUAACGUCGUACGUACACUCGAUCGUAAGGUAGCUGUGGUAUCUACUGAUGAAUGCCGUGGGGCUUCUUCCAUUCCUUUUGUUAAGUUUCGAUCUCGCUGUGGAGGGAAUGUUUGGUGAAUGGUGCAUGCUUCUUCUUCUUCUUUUUUGGCUAGGAAUGGUGCAUGCAUGUUGGUGGUGAUUCUAUCUCUGAUCGAUGGCUACAUCGAGCUACCUAGGAAAUAAAAUAUGGGCUUAUUUAUAUACGAGCUAGCUAGGACCACCACUGCUGACACGUAAUAUCACUCAUGUCCGAAAAUAAAUAUAAGUCGUUUUGUAAAUUAAAAGGUACAGCCUAUAAUAUGAGCUUUAACUAGCAGUUUUCCGUGAAAAUAUGAUCGAUAUUGAAAAAUAUAAAUGAGUACAUGUUCUGACGAAAGUAUAAAUCUACCAUUAAUCUUAUGUUGCCAGGCCACACUAGCUAGUACUCUCUCCAUCCCAAAUUUCUAUUCGUUUUGGUUUUUUUUAAGAGCAUGCAUUUUUCUACGUAUUUAGACAUAGCAUAUAUCUAGGUGCAUAUAUAUCUAGGUGCAUAGUAAAAAGUUAUGAAUCUAGGAAAGACAAAACGAAUACUAAUUUGGGACGGAGGGAGUACCUAACAAAUUCAUUAUGUGUUGAUAGUUAGGGUUGAAAAUGUUUGACCGGUCAAUACAUGGUAUCAAAGAUUUUCCUAGUGCGAGGGUGGUUGUUCUUCUUCAUGGUUUAUUAUCAAGUGGCCAAGGAAUAUCUAGUCCAAUUGUGGCAUUUUUGAGAAACCAAAAUAAAUUAAUUAGCAACAGGAAUCCCCAGCUAACAUUUCCCGGAAAAAAACCGUUGGUUACUUGAUAAAUGUCCCGUCGGAGUUACCUCAACUAGGCUAAAAACAUACUUGGCAAUUUCAGAAAAUUAUAAAGAGAACCAAUCGCCGUCAGUCAUAUGCAAAAGAAAAAAAACACUCUAGCUAAUCAUGGUAGUCUUGUAGUGCGUAGAACAAAAAAAGUAUGUACUGUUUGAAAGCGUGACCUGGGCUGUUUUCCAUUAUGGUCAGCAUCCGAGGUGUGUCUCGUGUCAAUCUAAAUGCCACCACCUCAAGUUGCUCAUAUAGUGGCCAGAGGAUAGUGAUAUCGGCUCUUUUAUAUGGAGUGGGAAACGUACGGAAUCUUGGCGUGCAUGCGCAUUCCUUUAACCUGAGCAAACUCGACGGAUGACGCACACGGGAUGCAAUGCAAUGGGUUGCAUUGGGCCUUGUCGCCAAACUCUUCUUUGCCUUAUCUCCAACUCCUUGUACGUUUGAGCACUGCAUUGCCCACAACUUGCAUAAUUGCACUGCCGCGCUGUAAUGUAAUUUAAAGUGUACGGUGCUAUAGGCUUGCUUGGCCGCUUGGUGCGUUUCCCUCCAAUCAGAAUAAAGGAAUCCACCCGAACCAAAACCUUUUACUGAUUAAACCAUUGGCUCUUCCGUCAGCAAAAUAAUCACGAGCAGUAUUCCCUCCGUUCCACAAUACUGUUUUUAGCGGUGGGGAUGUGUAUUAUUCUUCUGGAUUUGGUCGGUUGUAUUAUAUAUCGACUUUAACAUAUAAAAUCGAGCACUCUACUCUCGAUGAAGUACAUACUGAAAUUUGAAUUAAUGUUGCUCUAUUGUUUGGAAAGGAUGAUUCUACCCUUAGUUAACCCUAUCUAAAAUGUGCAUUUAUGUUUUCGAAUGUACCAACUGAUUCUAUGGACUAUAGGGUGCAUUUAUUUAGUAGGGGCAUGACUGGAAAAUCUAGAUAAAAGUUGCCUUGGACUUGUAGAACAAGAAGUAUUUUGAAAAUAGUUGAAGAAUAUAAAAAAACGAGUAUUUUCUUAAAAACCGAGUACUGUAAAAGGGAGGGAAGUACUAUACACGAAACAUAUAUGCACCAGUGUAGUACUGUGUGGUACCUUUAUAUCUCUAGCUAGGCAAUAGCAGACAGCAGGAAACAUGGCAGCAGAUCUUGCAAAAUCCUAUUAAAGUAUCUAACCCUUCGGCCCAACAUAUCACGAGUCUUAUUUAGGCCUUGAUAAAUGAGGAGAAUUGACGACAAAGCGCGUCCAUAUAUCGUCCCAAAUCCUCUGAUCUCUUACGUCAUUUGGCUUUCGAUUUCUUUUUUUUUCAAUUGAUAUUAUUCUCCAGAGAGAAGAAAAGGAAUAUAUGUACACGAAGCCGCAGCAGGAUAGCAACAGAAGAACAAUAAGAUCACGUGAGUGCCCACUGCCCGUCGGGACCGGGAGACCACCACCGCUAUAUAGAUAUGGGGACUGGGGUUCGAGUCCUUCAUUCUUGGUCCUCCAUUUAAGCUCCACACACCUACACUCCUCUCCCUGUCUCUCUCUUGCCUCCAUUGGGCAAGCUGCCAGGCCGCGUGGCUAGCUUAGCUCUGUGGUGUGUGCGUGCGCGCGCGCGAGGCAUAGAGAGAUGCUGUCGAGGGAACGCAAGAAGAAGCAGGCGGCGGCCGCUCUUCAGGAGAAGCUGAAGAUCCUCCGCUCCAUCACUCACUCCCACGCUGUAAUAAUCUCUCCUCGCUCAAUCCUGGCUCCACCUUCCUCUUGUUUUCUUUUCCCAAUUCUUUCCAGUGCUCUUCGGAAUUCAGAACGUCAAAUGCAUCGAUCAAUCACCUCUCUGCAACCUUCUCGUUCUUGCAUCGCCUGCUCUUUGGAUCAUUCCAAAUAUCAAAUGAUACCUGUUUAUUUACUCACCUUGGCCACAAUAAUAUACCUUUGCGCAGUUAAGCAACACAUCCAUAAUCAUGGACGCGUCGGCGUACAUCAAGGAGCUGAAGCAGAAGGUGGUGAGGCUGAACCAGGAGAUCGCCUGCGCGCAGGACGCGCUGAGACACAACUCCUCCUACCCGACGGUACUCGCAUCGCUUCGCUUCGCUCGCAUAUACUCCAUGCCAUGUACAUGUAGAGAUAGAUAAUGAUGCACAUGCACAGAAGCUAUUAGGGACCCAUAUGCAUGAUGCUAAUUUGUAAUUUCGCGGUGUCACCAGUAGAAGGAAGUAUCCAGUGGUAGUGUGGUACUGCUGCUGCACCAGUUCACAUGCUAGCCAAUCACUCGGGAUUAUUCAGUCAGUACUCAGUACUCAUCAGUAGGGCCGUAUAGUUCACAUGUGCAGCUUCAAGGCUUCUUCGAUCCCAUGCCUGCCUGCAAUAUUCAGCUGAGCUGAGCACCGCUGAUUGAUCAAUGAUAACGGGUGGACCGGGCACAUAUUGAUACGGAUGGAUGCAGGUGACCGUGGAAACCCUAGUAGGCGGGCACGGCGGGUUCCUCAUCAACGUCUUCUCCGACAAGAGCUGCCCGGGGCUGCUCGUCUCCGUGCUCGAGGCCUUCGACGAGCUGGGGCUCAGCGUCCUCCAGGCCACCGCGUCCUGCGCCGACUCCUUCCGCCUCGAGGCCGUGGGUGGAGAGGUAAAAUCAGUAACUGAUUGAUUGAUUGCGCCUCUCUUUCUUCUUGGCUUAUAACAUGUUAAUUCUCUUUGGUGGUGCUGCGCGCAGAACGUGGCGGAGAACGUGGACGAGCACGUCGUGAAGCAGGCCGUGCUGCAGGCCAUCAGGAGCUGCUCCGAGAGCGGCAGCGAGCAUGACGAGGAGUAGGCGGAGCGCGUAAGCGCACACUCCUGGCCGGUCACCCGAUCCUCCUGUCCUUGAGCGUCUCAGGAAGCCGAGAUCGCUUUGUCUGCUCCAUUUCCUCCCUCUUCCUGUAUUUUUGGCUUCUAUAUCCUCUAUCGCUGGCGACAUGGGUAGUUGCUCCCUAGUGCUGAUGAUCCGGUGAAUUCCAUUUCCUGUGUAAUAGUAUUAAUUAGCUAAGGGAGCGCCAUGAUUUAUAUAUAUGUCUAUGACAAUAAGAUCGAUCAUGCAAGUAAGAAUGAUGGGAGGUUGGAAGCAAAGCUGAAUAGAGCUAGCAUUCAACUGCCCUUCUUCCGUAUGUACUAAUAUUCAUGCAAGUUAUAUGUGUCCAUGCACCCUCUGGCCUCUGCUGAACGGUGAGUCCAUCAUGAUGAGAUGAAAUCAGUAUGAGCUUCUAAAAGACAUUGAUCAUUCAUGAAGGCAGCCAGCAGUGUUCUAAUAACUAACGCAUGCAAAUAAACCUGUUUGCUCCCUUCAAAUUGCUCCUUCCUUAUCGAUCUAUCAAAUCUCAUGCAUGGUGCUUUGCUAAAUCGGCAUCUCUAGCUAUCCAGCUAGCUAAUCCCUGAAACAGUGCCUGAAGAAGAACACCGGAUAGAUGAGAUAUUUUACAAUACAAGUUGAUCUGCCCAAACGCGUACACGCCGUGUUCAAAACCUGCAGGAGUCACGGGUUCCGAAAACACAGGAAGGCAGCCAAUGGGAAGCCCCCGUUCGAGGCGUGGUCAUUCCUGCCCGCCUGCCUUUCCCAACAAACACCGCGCGCCGAGGUGGAGCUAGCAGCGCAAAAGACCCCGUGUCGCUCUCACGCCGCCCCAACGAUUGCGUCCACCCACCCACCGGCCACCACCGCCGUGUGCUCGAUGAGGCGCCCAAGCAAGCAAGGGGAGAGGCGGCAGUUAUUUAAAAAGCUGGCGUGCCAUUUCUUUAGGGAGCACGGCUACCCGGCGGCCGAGAGGAUCGGCAGCAGGCAGGCAGCAGGCAUCCACGCCAUGCAUCCUGAUCCUGGCGGUGGCAGCCGCAUCGAUCGCUACAACGCUCUCGUGACAGACGGCUCCGCGUCGCCUGUGACCCCCCGGCCCUGCGCCCCGCGGAUCGGCUCGCGCCCGGGGAGCGCAAGGGACAACCUGACUGACGGGGCGCGCGGGCGCGGACGCAUCGAUGGAUGCCCGGGCGCGGCAGGCGUCGCGGCGCGCGGAGGCGGCAGGGCGUCGUGCGCUGCGUGCCACCACCAUGCGCGGCCCGGCCGCUAGCUGCUACGCCCUACGCGCGCGGCUUCGUGGCGACAACAGCCAGCCAGCCGGCCAGCCGCCUGCUGCUACGCCCCGGCCGCGGCCGGUGCCCCAGCGCGCGUCCGGCCAGGGCGCCGUACGCGGCUCGCUUGUCGCCUCCCCACACGGGGGGCGCGCCACGCCUUGCUUUCACCUGGCCCUGACGAACCGAACGAACCAGCAGCUAGCGCUGCACCGCACAGCACAGCUAGGCCCCUGCAGGUCGCCGCUGCCCUCCUGCGGCUCACGAGAGGGAUUCGCGCGCGGCGCGAGGCUCCUCAAGUCCGGCGUCGGGGGCUCAGGGGCCGUCCUCCUCUCCCACCCUGGCGCCCCCAGACGUGCAAGCUUUGGCCGCACGCAGGCGGCUGCUGCUCGUGAGGCGACAAUUAGGGAGCGCACUGCCGCGCCGGGGCUCUAGUCAUUGCCACCGGGCGCUGACUGACGAGACGUUCAGUUGAAACAAAAGCCGGGUAGGAUCGGUGUGCCAGCGGGCAUCGUCCACGUGAAACCGGCACAGCCGCACAGGGAGGCAUGCAUGUGGGCUGGAAUUGGAGUGGCUACAUGUGAAUUCGAACAGUGUCAAGUGUGUGAACUACAAUGCCAUGUAUGAAUAAUAUGAAGUGAACUAUAAUCCAUUGUUCAAAAAAAGUGAAGUCAACUACAACGGCACCAUAUGAGUGAAACAGAUCAGAGGAAUUUUUUUUACUUGCCUCAACCCAAUCGGUAAAUCUGCAAUUCAUUCAAGACAAAAUCUCGAUAUUUUCAGCCUGCAAAUUGUCCUGGUAAAGUCGAUCAAUACCUCAGGCUCUUGCUCUUGUUCUCCUGGGUUAGAAAUGCAACACCAAGGGCCUGCUUCGACAGGAGGGUCUCAGAUCCCAAUCUCUAGGAAGUACUUCAGAUUUGAACUAAAUCCAGGCAAUUGCAAGAAUAAGCCCUCUCAUCCAAAAAGGUGGUAACAUUGCCAACCGAAUACUCAAGUUGAUCCAAUGUAAGGAUUUGGCUGCACAAGAGAAACAUUAUUCUCUUCAGAGAACAAUUCAAUUCAGUUCCUCAUCCACUUUAUGAGCAGCUAAGUUAUGAAAUUAGAUGCCGUCAGCACUCUUUUUAGCCAUCUUCACUCUGUCAUAAUCAGCCUUCCAUAUUUUAUAAGCCUCCCUAACUUCAUCCAGCUGCGAAUCAGGUAUGGUGGCGAACUGGUCCAAGUUCUCCACCCAUUCCUUCCAUGGUGGCAUAGAUGGAUCCAAGAAUUUUGCUAGCUCAGGCAGGAGAGCUGCCUUGUAGAAUUCCGUAACCCCCUUCCUGACUUCUGCCGAUUUGUUCAUUGACUCGAUCCCAGGGCGAACAAGUCUCCCUUCCUUGUUUUUCGUGCAGAAACUAUUAUCUCUAAGGAUCAGAACUUCUGAAGGGGCUAUUGGUAGAACGAUUCUAGAAAACUUUGCUAGAGACAAUUCUAUGAUAUCUUUGGGUAGUGAUCCACGCUUCACUGCCACUGCAGUUCCAACCAUCUUCCGGAUCUGAGGUCAAGAAAAAGAAUAGCAUGACUACAUCAUAACUCACAUGCGCAUAAUAUUUUUAGUAAUUGGGUAUCAAAAGCUAAUUGUACACCUUGAAUACUGAGCAUCACGGAUCAGAAUUUUUUUUAAAAAAAUACUACUUAAUGAACUGGUUAGUUCAUGCAUACUUACUUCUCAGAGGGAUUAGUUUCUUGGCAUGAUAUAAACUAUCAUAAUUUAUAAAUGGUUAUAAAAAUUAGCGAGCUGGUUUGUAAAGAGGAACCGAUUUGAAAAAAAUCAAGCAUAUGUCUAUACUGUACCAUCGACAAACACCCAAAAAAACCACAACUCAGAGCAAGAAAGUGGAAUACUUUAAAAUUAUUAUCUUGUGAAAUUUACUUUUCCCUGAUUGGUUGCAAAGAUAGUAGUACCAUGUUACUAUUGAUUUUGUAAUAGAUUAUACAUACCUGAUGUAGCAUGAAAGAUACUCCGCAUAUGGUCAAUUCCACAAAUUGAAUUCCUGAUGAACUCUGCAAUUCUCCACAUGAACAUGUAAUAAUAUCUCUGAAAUGUGAAGCAUUUAGUCUAUCACUCUCAUCAGGCUCAUAUAGCCACCUAGCUUGAAUCUGCACCCGGUUCCCAGAAUGUUUGGCAACAUCAUUCAAACAAUUGUCUUCGACACCAGAAUCAAUCAUUGAUGAAAUAUUCAAGUCUUCAUCAUGGUCUGAAGGAGUGUUGUCUUCAGAAGAGUUUUCUUCCAUACCCAUUUCAGAAGACAUGGACUUCAACGGCAAACAUGCUCCUUUGACCCUUCGGUGACUUCCCGCAAGAACUUUUCUGUACUUGGCCCGUGCAGUGUAAUUAUGAAAUGGAUGGUUUCCCUACAAGUUGAGAAAGAUCAUGUAAGUAUGGUGAAGUUUGUGUGCAUACAAAGUAAAUGGAUGAGGAAAAUUAUUCUGAUAUAAGUUCUCCCCAAUGUGUUGUAUAAAAUGCUAUUUGCAUAACCAAUAAUCUGAUGGAAAUUCAGGGACAUGAUCGUGUUAGGACUAUAUUCAAGAUGUAUCUUGGGGUGAAAGAGGGUAUAUUUGAAAAGUUAAAUAUCUUUAAAAUUUACUAGAGCCUGGUUUGUAAAAAUUGCAUUUGGUUUAAGCAGUAGUUGUUUGGUGACUGUCAUGCAGAGAGUACACUGAACUAGGUAUCUCCACUUCUUCAGUUGUGUCAGUGCCACCAACUUCAUACUCUGAAAUCCGAACCCAAAUUUUAGUCCAACAGAUGGCUGAAGUUGUUUAACUUCCCACUGAAGCCAUCAAGCUAGUGAAGUAAUUGGAAAAGGACCAAAACAAGAACAUGCUUAGUCACUUGCCUAGCUAUGCAUUCUUAAAUGUUCCACAAAGCUGUUUCCAAGUUUCUCUUUUCUAUCAUUCAAUUGAGAGAUCACAGAUGCCCUAAGAAAUUCAUGUACAUGCCAGACAAGAAUUCAAGAUUAAGGUUCAUGGGCAAACUGGAGAAGUUUGGUGAGCUCUGAUGUAACAUACUCAUUGAAUAAAACUCAUGCUAUCAUGCCUCGUUCUUAAUCCAACAUAUACGUAUGUCCCCACUAAACACAUGCCUCGUUCUGAUGAGAUAAGAGACACAUUUAAACGGGUGCAUACCUCGAAACCUUUCAGUAUGCUGUUGAAUUCUGACAAGUGUUCUUGCACUUCUUCAGAACUACAACCAUCUUUAAUUCCAAUAGUUUCAGCAGGAAGAAGGUAGAAGUACUCACGGUAUAAGCACUCCCUCCUUACAUCAAAACUCCUGUAAUUAAUGCACAACAAUACAAACAUGGUAAUUUAGGUAUAAUCCAAUGAAUCAUCUAACCUCGAUUAUUUCUGUAAAUAUAAACGACCCCACUACCUUUGUGCAGGUAAGAUACUAAAAACUCUGACAUUGUUCGGCAAAUUUGAGUUAAUGAAACUGGCAAGAGAAAUGCCAUCAGGAUCAUUUUCCCACGCUCUAUCAGGGAUUUCCAUUUUAAGGGAGAUCAUCGUAGCCAGCGAAUGUACCUGAAAUUAGUCCGUUCUAAGCAUGCAUACAAGCCUUUGUUAGCUGAAAAAAAACAUUCUUCAUAAAUUUAAGAGGGUUAAGUGGUUAAUGCCUACCCCUUUAUCAGUUCGGCUACUCCUCUCCCACCCAACCUUUUGAAGUUUUCCAUAAUUGCUCUCAAGAAUGCCUCCUGCCUUGAAGAUGGCAGAUUCCAAGACUGACUCAAUGGCUACAGAGCAAGAAAGAGGGGUUAAUCAACAUCUCAUACUGAUAAUCCAUCAUGCCAAUACUCGACAAAAAGAACCAAGGCAACUAUAGAACAUCUAUAAUUUAAUAUCCACGCUAUUGAAGCUUGUGAUGCAAACAAUCAUGCUCGUGCGCUCAUUAAUAGUAUUUUUCGUCAUGUGGUGUGACCUUUCACAAUCAUGCUAUUGGAUUGCAAAACAUCGCUCUGAAAGUUUGAGUCCUUCAUGGAUAAGCUAAAAAUAACUGCUAGAGGAACUAGGAUUUGCUCCAUGGGUUAUUUGUUCUUUCAGAACAAAUGAACCAGUAUCAGAGCUCGAAUGAACAGAACGACAAGCAACAAUACAGUGCAACUAGGCACUAGUACGAAAAGAGCCCCCCAGUGCUACCAUUCACAACGGUGCACCGAAUUAAGCUACACCUAGCAACCAUCAAAUUAAUUUUCUUUGAGCAAACCCAAAAAACUAUUUAGUUAACCAGUAAGAACUCAAAACACAGAGAGCGCUGGUAUAGAAAUUCAGUACUUACUGGAGUCCACGCUAAGCUCCCGCUGCUUUUGAAGGCCUGCCAUGAAAGCACAUCGCAUUCAAUCACGACCCCACCAUUUUCCUUUCGGGAAAUUAAGGUGGCAAGUAAAAACCUCGGUACUCGGUGCCGACGUAGCCGACGCGGAGCACCACCCUCUUCUUCCGCGCCGACUCCCAUCUCAUCCCGCAACCUCCAUCGCCGGCCGAGGUGUCAGACGGAAGCGGAGGCGGAGGCGGCGGUGGUGCGGCGGGGGCGGAUGCGGAGGAGGAAUAGAAGAUGGUGGUACGCAGGACUCUAGGGGUCGCGCGCCUAGCGAGGAGGAUGGAGGAGAUUGGUCUCCGGAGAAGCCACGACGACGUCGCAGCGGCGGCGGCGGUGGCCAUCGGCGGCGGGACGGGGCGGCCCACGUGGAAGGGCUUGUUAAUUGUAGUGGGGGAUAAGAAGACGACGACGGACCAGUGUGAGGGGAGUACGGUAUAGCAGUUGGGAGCUGCUGGGCCCGAACAUUGUGAUGGGCUUCGUCGUUUCAUGGGCUUUCUACUCGUCUUCAACAAUCUGUGAGAUUGGAUUUAUUCCGAGGAUGAUUGGAUUUUUACACUGUGCUCAAAAAAAAAAACAUGCACAGAAGUUGACGAGGACUGGUCAGCGCUAGAAGUGAUGGACGCCAAGCUAGCGCCGCGUGAAGGACGUUCGGGGCAGCGACUUAUUGUUGCAUUGCACGCACUAAGUCCACUGCGACGACCUUACAAUUGCAAGAAGUCAUCGCUUUCGGCGGUCGGCGCGGCACACGGCGACUCCCAGGACGGCAUAGGAACCAUCCCAUGGUGCCCCUCCCCGCAACUUUACUUCCAUAUAUACAGUUCGUCCGAUUCGAUAAACAAUAAGCACAAUUGCACAACCACUACCUCACCUUCGAUUUUUGAUGUGCUGGUCAUUCCCAGGCUCCCAGCCUCUCCAUUCCAUCAGAGCCAGCGGUUCGUGCUGCACGCCUCUGCAGCUAGCUAAGUUGCUGUUGUUUUGACUCCUCAGUCCUCAGCAGGUUCGUGGAUCAUCAGCGACUUCAUGGCGGACAUGGUGGCUUCAGCCCUUGCCCAGGAGGGCGUGAGCAGGGCCUCGUCGUACAUCUCAGCCAAGCUCGACGACAAGGCCGCCAGCGCGCACAACAUGGCCAGGCUCGAGAUGGCACUCUCCCAGCUGGAGUUCGCGCUCGAGAGGACCGCGAAGAUGCCCAUCACACACGUCUCGCUGCUUCGCCGCAUCAAGAUGCUGAAGAGUGCUCACGCCGAGGGCACAGCUCUGCUCAACAAGCACAGGCCGCGGGUGCGGCGGCAAGGCCAGGAACAGGCCGGCCGGCAAGCGGCGACGCGCUACCCCUUCCUCGGAUGGAUCGGCCGUGCUAGAAACCUCCCCAUCUCGUCUCUCCUUGGCUUCAACAAGGAUGAUCAUCACUUGAGCUCCACCGCUGUCCAAGCUUUCGAAUGGUACGCGGAUUGCGCAGAGAAGUUUGCGGCGGACGUGGAGACCGGCUGCCCGCUCCGGCGCGACUCCUUCCGGUACCCGUUCGUCAGGCAGCUUCUCGAAGAGAAGACCCUCUGGUACGAGAGUUCCAGAGGAAGCCGGGGGAUGCGCUUCCACAUGCUGCCCCUGGGUUUGGGAGACCGUGGCGUGGAGGCAGAGCUGUACUACUGCUACCAGGACCUGAAGACGCCCGAGAACAGUUUCUGCGUUUGGCUGAUGCUGCGGCUCUCGGAGAGCACGGACAUCGUCGGGAUCGCCAUCAGGUGCCUGCAGUUGCUGACGUCCCAGUUCGAGCUCGCGAUCGAGUCCGCGGUAGGAGAGCUCACGCUGCUCCCCGGCCUGCAGGACGUUUCCGAUUCGUAUGAGCCUCCGUUGGACUGCAUCCAAGGCACAUACGCCAGCAGGGAUACCAAAUACUGGCGCCCGGAUCCAACAUGCUGCAGCAACAUUGUCUCCCAAGUGCCAUCGUCAAACGGAUUCCCGGAGCCGGUCAUCGCUAUCGGUUUCAGCUGCUGGGUUUCAGCGCCAGAGUACAAGCUGCGCAACGCGGACGCGCCGCCUCUGUACGCCGAAGCUUUCUUCCAGCCUCACCUGUCUUGCGCGCCCCAUCCGGAGAUUUUGCGCAAGUACGGAGGCGAAGAGGAAUGCGCAAGCAGUGGUGGUAUGCAAGAAAUGGGGGAGAUGAUAAGAUCAAAUGCGCUCGAUUAUUUGGCCCGUGAGCCGGAACCCACGGAGUACGCGAUGUUCUGGUUCUCUGCGCAUGGUGCUGCGUUCGUUACUUUGCGCAAGUCGAUCAACAAGCAAGCAUGGCCCGAACCAACGGCAGCUCCAGGACGCGGCCGGAGCGGCGCGAAGAGGAAGCGCUAGAAAGUUUGAAGGUGCAGGUCAUUUGUUUCAUCUUCAAGGCUACGCCUCUUUAAUUUGACAAGGUCCUAACUCCCAACUCAUGGAGAUGUUCUUUGGAUACGUGUAUCAGUUGGAAAAAAUGGUGCAUUGUUAGCCCAGCCGUGACCUAGCUGUUAGUGCUGUGACCGGCAUUCGGACAGUUGUAAGAUGGCAUUUCUCUGUCUCGGACCUAUCGGUCGCUGAAUGAUACCAGCAGAGAUCAUGCUGUUAUUUGACAAACAAAACUAUCUUGCAUUGCUAUGUUCAUGUGAAGGAUCGUGUCCGUGAACUUGUGAAGCUACUAACUGAUCUUGUUUUGGUCACAAUGGGGAGCAAGAACAGAGUCCGAGCAGAGCAGAAAUAAAAGCGAGUCGCAGCAACAGCAAGAUGCUAGUAGCUCCACCAACUGAACACACAGGCAGAAAGCCCGUGCAGUUGCUGCAAAAAGACGAUUUGGGCACACCAGCAUUGCUAAUAAGAUGCAGAUCAUCCUGCAUCUGUCUUAGAAACACUUUUGAUUCCUCAAUCAAAGUAACUGAAAAGGCGUACUACGUACAACUUAACACCUAAUGAAACAUUAAUUGCAAAACAAAACUAUAAUUUCAUCACCUUGCCAACCUCACAAACUUGUAAAUCAAAUGAAGCACUACGACAUUAAUUUAACUGAACUUUAAGCACUCCGUUCGACACGAUGACAGUUCUGGAUCGAACAGUACACUGUACCACAGGCUCCAGCCCGGGCGAACCGCGCUCACUCAACGCAAGGCUCAAGAGUAGUUCACCUUCCUGCAGUUGUAUCGGAUCUCGCCGCGGGUCCCGGUGAGCGGGCUGAGGCUGGCCAUCCUCACCAUGGCAUCAGCGAAGUCCCUCCUGAACGCGUCGCCGUUCGCGGCGUAGAACCUCACGAGCGCGUCGGCGACGCCGCCGGCAGCGAACAGUUGCUGGUCCGAGUGCAGGACGCCCCUGCCCCGCAGCAGCGACGCGUAGUACCCGCCGUCGAACCGCGCGGGCGUCGGGUCGAGCGGUGCGAGGUUGUCGUCGCCGCUGCCGGUGGCGCGUGGGCACACCGCCUGGAGCGACGCCGCGAGGGCGCCGUCCAGGGUGGCGGUCUCGUUGUAGAGGCGGUCCCGGAAGUUGGUGCAGCGGGAGAAGCCCAGCGUGUGGCCGCCGGAGAGCACGACGAGGUCCUGGAGGGAGAGGCCGUGCGAGGCGAAGCUGGAAGCGAGGCGGUCGAGGUUGAAGGUCGGCGCCGGGAUGCUGUUGUUCGCCGCCGCCUGGCUCGCCGUGCGCGCGUCCCGGCGGCCCAGUGGCACGUCGUACGACGGCCCUCCCAGCUGCACGCAGACGACAACGACGGAUUAUAUAUAUAUUUGGUGCAUGAAUGACGUAAAGGUUUCUGUGCAGCAACAAUGGAGGCGCGAACUAGAACGGACCGCGACGACGGAGUCGCGCGCCGCGACGGCGACGAUGUCGGCGCAGGAGACGACGUUGCCCCUGCAGGCGGCGUUGACGGCGGCCUUGAUGCGGUCGAUCACGUCGAAGCCGCGGACGGAGUUGACGUUCGGCGAGGCUCUCUUCUCGCCGGUGAAGAAGGGCGUGUCGUCCAGCAGGAUGGACCCGUCGCACCCCUGGGAAUCAAUGGAGCACGCACAAAGAUCAGGAGUUCAGGACACUACGCAUGCACGAGGCGUGACUAAUAAUAAAUAAUGCAUCUGCGUAGGCGUACGUUGACGAAGCAGUCGUGGAAGUGCAGGCGCAGGAGCGAGGCGCCCAUGCGCGGCUCCGCGGCCACGGCCUCCUCCACCACCCGCUUGAUGGUGGGGAGCGCCGCGGGGCACGCCUUGUCGUAGAAGUGCGUGUCCAGGAGCUGCCCGCGGCUGGGCGUUGCCAAGAGAGCCAACGCCAUGGCCGCGACACACGCCGCCACCGCGAACCGGCGAGACAACGAAGCCGCCAUUCGCUAGCUCAACACCUUUUCGAUCAGCAGCACGUCAAUGUCAGCUAGCUAACUAAUUGAGCAGGCACUCAACUAAUUCGCUGAUGAUCAAGCUAGUUCGAGAGUGUGCGAGGAGAGGGCACACUGCAGGAAGCGCUUAUAUAGCCCGUGGAGUUGACCCCGUCGACUCAGCUCGGUUCUACACAAGCAGCUACCAGCUAGCAAAGCUAAGCUAAGCUAGCGUCGAGCAAAAAGUGGUAAAAAAAGGUGAGAUAAAAUUCAGUCGAUGAAGUAAGCCAAGGGGCGUGAGGUUGGCUUGGCAUGGAAACGCUCAUGAUUUCCAGGUGGUAGGCAGGAAAAAUGGAGACCGAAGGUUGGAGUGCAGUGAGGGCUGAGGCUUUUUGUUGCUCAACGAUUUAACUAACCGAGAUCGAUCUGAUGAUGAUCCCCUAACGCAUGACGAUCGCCGGCAACUAAUCGCGGCCGGGCCGGGGAAGCUGCCUCGAUUGAUUUGCUGGGCGGGCGGGCGGGCUUGAUGAGAUGAAGGUGAUCUAAUUGACCUACCCAAAGCUAACUUACAGCUGCUAAGCUCGGUUGAUCGUACUUACUGCUUCGUUAAGCGUUUUUUAUAUGCAGCUAGCAAGAUGACGACGACAAGCCACAGACAAACUUUGUACUACGGGCCUAGCUACUUGUACCAUGCAGCUUCUGUACUGCUGCCAAGACAAUUUUGUCUCCUUUCACUUUGGAGUUCGAGAAUUAUCCGGAACAUUUUGUUUUCUACGGAGUAAGACUUAACCAUAGAGGGUAUAUAUGAGCAAGUGAACAGAGUGUACGCGCUGGUCAACAAAUAUUGAGUUCUUGAUUUCUUGUCUGGAGUGUGGUUGAACCAAUUCUCAAUGAUUCAGGGGCCUUGUCCGGCUCAUCGUGUUUUCACCUUGCGCGUCAACGCAGGCAGUAAGCUUCAGUAAUCACUAAGAAAUGCUCCAAAAAAAAAACAAAGAAGAAGAAGCAGCUAGAACCGUGUAGUGCAGUACAGUAUUGGUACUCGCCUCGUGGCUGACGCCACGGCUCGAACUUAACCCAUACCGCGACCGCCGCAUCCCAUGGCUUGGCCGUCAGUGAUAAUCCUAAGAAAUAAAACUGCGAGUGACACAUCAAAAUAGAGCAAAAUGCUAGAGUCAGUAUGCAUUUUGAAGAGUAGCUUUUCGGAGAAAAUACUGGUAGGGUCUUCUCAUAGAAACGUUUCAGAUUCAAAUUAUUUUUGAAACAUUUCUCUCCUGAAUCAGAAUCAGUUUGUAAAACUGUUUGGCUACAUUUGAAUCUUAGGUAAAACCAAUAUUUUACAUAAAAAUUAAAAAAUUGAUAGGUUUUAUUAAAAAAUAUUGAAACUUUGUGAGUGAAGAAUGGUGCUAGGGCAACCCAUUUUUAACUUGUUGCACUUAAAAAAAGCAUUGACAAAAGAAUACGAUUGCUAGUGUAGUAUGGAGGCAAGAAACAUAAUCCAUCGAAACCACCUUGAGGCUGUUUCAAGUGCCUAGGCAAAAAAGGAGAAUGAUUCACCGGUGAAACGUUUCACCCUCUGCCCAUUUGGUAGUGAUUCUAGCGUUUUUCCCUAGAAUCUGAAAGUUUUGAGCUGCCAAACGGGUCUAAAUAGUGAUAUGCUACUAUGUUGAUUUUCGUCAAAAUUUUCAAUUGACAGAAACAUAGAGCGCGUGAAAGAAAAAGAAAACAGAGGAGAAACUCGUAGUCUCUUGUUUUGCCUCAAGCCUGUGGUGCCAUUUUAUAUUUUUUUUUAAAAAAAAAGGAAGUCGUGUGGGUAGGACUAGUAUGGGCCUGAUUUUUUAUUGGGCUUCAUUUAGGGAGGUACAUGGGUUCGAAACCAGACCAGAGUUUGGCCUUUUUUACUGCCCUCAACAAUUUUCCCAUCUAAAAAAAAACAAUUUUCCCAUCCGGCCGGCUAUCCCACCCGAUUCCCAGUAACAGCAGAUCUGUCCGUUUUAAACAAAAGAACACUCCUACACCCACAGCCAAAAUGAGCUCAGGAGUAAGGGUGAAGACGACAGAACAACUGCUCUGUCCUUUUAGCCACCAGCAGCUGAUUCAGCGUUAAUUACCAUGGAUUGGGAUCAGCACCCGUUUUGUUUAUCCCAUCCGGAUCUUGGCAACGGUCCAGGAGCCCUUUCGUCCUCUUGUCUUUGGCAACGUUCAGUUCCCAUGUGCUGGCAGCCAGGAUACUUCGAAAUUACUUCGGAAGCGUUUAUGGCUUCGCCGUCCAAAGGGAGGACGGCGAUAGCGAUCCACCAGAGCGGUUGGUUUCUCGUGAGUCGUCGUGACCCGUGAGUCGUCGUGAUCCACCUGGCCGUUUUGCCGCUGCUGCGAUGGGGACGAGAACGAAACGCGUCGGCGUCGCCCGGCGGAUCCCGCACUCCUCUGCAGCUGCGAUGCGCUGUGUCCGUGACCGUGUGCAAUGGCAACGGGCAAUCCUGAGUCUCCUUUUUCCUUUUCAGCGCCCCGCACGGUGUUCGGUUGCAGGCGCAGAAGCAGAGCGCAGGGGCAUCAUCACCGCCCCCACCAACUUCUUGGUCGACCGUUAAUGCCACGCCAGUUUCCGCUCCGUGUGGUGUGGUGGUCUGGUGGAGGAAACAGCUGCAAGCUGCUCCAGGGAAACGGUAACAUCUGGCACCCGCAAACAGGCGGGCAAACGGAAACCUGCACAACACAGUCACGCCGGGUGCGGGUGAUGAUGCUGGGUGUGUCGUGACACAGCAACGUGUGUUUUGUCAUAUCCAAACACUAGUGUUGUUUCCAAAUAUGAGCUGAUGUUGGUGAGUAUAUACUCUGUCAUCUCCAUGCCCAAGGUCACCUGGUACAGUACACGGACUGUCGGGUUUUUAGAACCUUUUUUUCUAGAAAAAAGAAAGUGGGGAGGGAAAGCGAAGCUUGUCGAGCCGAGCAGGGCUGUGUGAAAAAUACGAAAACACAACGGGCAACGGCUCCUUGUUGGAACGGUCAACGUCUCGCUCGCCGGGACACUCGCGCUCUUAAAACCAGCAGCUUUCCCGUCCCCCCACACCUCCUCUCUCCUCGGCACUCUAGCUAGUCCUACGCACGGCCACAGCCCACGGCCAGUCGGUCUCGGUCCUCUCCGGUCUCCGCGCACAACCAAGAAAGCUAGCUAAUCUCACCGUUCCGCAUGAACUCCGAAGCCGAAUGCGCAGCAGCUCCGGCCGCCGCCGAUGCGGUGGGCGGUGGCGGCGGCAGGGCGGAGGUCGACACGUCGGCGCCGUUCGAGUCCGUGCGGGAGGCCGUCGACCGCUUCGGCGGCAGCGCCGCCUGGUUCGCGCCCUCCAAGGUGACACCGGCCUGCAUCUCCCUCCUCCCGUUUCCUGCUCCUCCCUCGGUCCCUGCCGUAAGGUAUAAGGCUAUAGCUAGCUCCGUUUUGUGUGCUCCAUCCAGCUGGUAGUUGAUUGGUGCGUGGUGUCCGAGGUUGCAACCUCCUCCUUGUCCCCAUGGAUUUGGCUCUCGGUCGAAGUCGGUAGCUGCCUGGUAUUUCAGAUGCGCGCAGCAUUCUCGCAGUGAUUUAGAAAGAUGGCUGGUGGUUGCUAGCUACUCGUCAACGAGCGCUGCAUCAAUUUCAUGCCACUUUUGCUUAAUGCUUAAUUGCUUGGCCCCCCAGAUGAUCACCCCAGCAACAGAGUGAACUAUUGAUGUGAAUCUUUUAGCCUGCUGGCUGCUGCUACUUAUAUAUGCAUUGCACUGCACCUGUAUAUCCACAGUGUUUCGCAUUGGGUUCCUAAUUGGAGUGCUCGCUGUAGUUUCACGAACAAAUACUGCUCUGAAUCGUGGUUCAGAACCUGCACUUUCUGUUUCGGCAAAGCUCGAGUAGGGUCAGGUCACAUGUGUCAACUGUUAUGCUGUGUUGCCUUCAACAUAUCUAGCGAGGACUAAAGAGAAUCUCCACAUUGCGAGAUUUCUAUCUUUUCCCCAGUCAACGUACCUAUAUCAUGAUGUUGCUUCUUAUCCUUCUUUUCCUCAUUUGCAACCUGCAGAAACAUGAACACUCUGAACAAGCUGCAGAAGCCAUCGACGUACAAGAGCAGGCUGCUCAGCUAGAAAAUGAGGUUGCCCGCAAAGAGAGGGAGACUCUUGAUGUGUUGAAGGAGCUGGAGUCAACCAAGAAAGUCAUUGCAGACCUGAAGCUGAAAAUACAGAAAGAAGCCACUGAAACAUCCCCUGAUGAAGCUGUCAAGUCUGAGGAAACUGAUCAGGUUUCUGCGCCAGGACCUGAAGAGCAGCAACCUGAAAAUGUUACCGUGGAUAUGGAUGGCAUGGAAGGCAUAGAAGAAAAUCCGCAGCUGUCUUCUGGUUCAGUUUUGGUGGAACUUGAGCAAGCCAAAGAAAUACUGAACAGAACUACAAGUGAUCUGGCACAAGUGCGGGCUGCAGUUGAGUUACUGCGAAAUAGCAUAGCGAAGGAGAAAAUAUUACUUGAAAGAGGCCAAGAAAAGCUUUCCUCUAACACCUCCUUGGUUUCUCAUUUGGAGGAUGAGCUUGAUCAGACAGCACAAAAGCUGGAAACUCUGAAGGAUCUGCAGAAGAGACGCAAAGAUCCCUCAGAUAUUUUUAUUGAGAUCAAGAAAAUGACAACUGAGGUUCAGCAGCUCAGGAGCAUGGCAAAUGAUUCAAAAUCUGAAGCGAUGUUGUUGGCUGCAGAAAUCGAGCAGGCAAAGGCCAGCAUUAGCACAGCUGAGAUCAGGUGUAUUGCAGCCAAAAAGAUGGAAGAAGCAGCUAGAGCAGCAGAGUCCCUUGCACUUGCAGAGAUCAAAGCUCUAUUGAGCAGUCAAAGUUCUUUUGAAGGUGACAACUCUUCUGAUGGAGUGACUCUCUCAAUAGAGGAGUAUUUCACACUGUGUUCCAAAACUCUUGAAGCUGAUGAAAACUCCAAGAAGAAAGUAGGAGAUGCUAUGUUGCAGGUGGAUAUAGCUAACAGCUCAGAGUCCGAGUCGGUUAAGAGGCUCGAGGAUGCCAAAGUUGAGGUUGAAGAAUGCAAGAAGGCGCUACAAGAGGCCCUAAAGAGGGUUGAAGCUGCAAACCAUGGAAAGCUUGCAGUUGAAGAGAUCCUUCGGAGAUGGAAAUCUGAGAGUGGACACAGAAAGCGGUCUAUCUGCGGAUCUCCGAAGUUCAAAAACGCAGCCCAUCCUCGUAAAGAUUCACACAGCAUGGAUAUUACUGAUGAUGUUUCAGAUAGAUCUUUCAAGCAAACUUUGUCAAUUGGGCAGAUACUGAGUAUGAAGUUAAUGGGGCCUGAUGGGUAUGACAAAAGUGUCUGGGACGACAAGGCAAGCGAGAUGCCAAAUAUCUCACUUGGUCAGAUUCUGAACCGCAGUGGUGUUUUGUGUAGAGAAGAUAUGGCUCCCCGCAAAAGAAUUUCAGGAAAGAGGAAGAAAUUUGCAUUGACUGGGCUUUCUGUUCUCCUGGCGAAGCAAUCUAAGAGCAAGAAGAAGAGAGAAUCCUUUUAAACUGAUACUGAUUGUCCCAAAAAGAUCAUUUAGUGUGUUACUUCGUAGUAUUGUACUAUGUAGCAGCAGUUCACCUUGUCAUUAGUAGUUAAUCUUCACGCUAUUUACCAUCUUUAGGUCCUCGUAUGGAAUGUAACCGGUAGCAAUUUUUGCUGCUAACUAGAGUAGAGUUGACAGUUCUCUACCUUGUAUGCUAUUGAGAUCUAUAUGAUUGGAUCCAAUGUUUUUUACCUUUCUGGUUGAGGCACCUAGCCGUUCAAUUUUUUACCUUUGUGCAAGCAACCUUUUUUUUCUUUUGCCGAAGUGAACAAAUCACUAUUCGAUGCCCUUAUGAAGCACUAUUAUUUCCUUCUUUUUCUAUCCAUCAUUUAUAUUAAAAAAGCAUGUCUUUUUUGUGAGCAGAGUAUCAGAAGUAAAUUUACAUUAAAAAAAAUUAGUGCACAAACUAGAAGUCAUGUACAUGUGUACCAACUAUGUUUGGGACCGCAAGGUAUCUUACAAAAAAAAACGGGGGGAACUUUUCAAUUUUUUCGCAAGUUCUUGGACCAUCCCUCACGGUUUCACAGUUGUGCGCGCGCUGUUAUUCCACUUCAUAGUUUAGCAGAACUUUAAAAAGGUUUGGUCCUAAAUUGUAAUAUAUAUUAUGUAAUAACUACCACAGCUGACGCGAACCGUCGAUAUGUCCGAGUGGUUAAGGAGACAGACUUGAAAUCUGUUGGGCUUCGCCCGCGCAGGUUCGAACCCUGCUGUCGACGUUUUCUUUUUUGCCCUUUUUUUACUUCUUCUGACAGCAGAGGAUAAUUUACUCGCGACUCGGAAGCCGGUGCUAAUGCAAUGCGUACAUUCGGUGUAGUACUUAAUCUGAAGAGAAGAAAUCCAUCUGGCUGGAAAACGCAGAGAGAUGCUGAAAGAAACGAUCGAGACAAAAUGUCUACCGCGACGCACGUUGCAUGAGAUUCGGCGGUUCAGUUCAGGAAGCAAGUUGCCCCAGCCCAUUGAGCUGUAAUUCUAUCCUUCUAUCCUCACACUGAUGGCGAGCGAACGGCUGAGCACAGUGCUCCAUCCAGCCCAAUCAAGCACGAACGAGGGCAGCACAGAACCGGAAGGACGUGGGCUUCUUCUAUCUAGCGGGCUUCUGUCUUCUGCCCAUGACCAGGUCAAGGGCAGGCAGCUCUCAUCAUGUAUUUUGCCUUCUUGUUCUCGAGUGCGCAUUGCAAUGCGUUAGCUGAUUCAGCAAACAGAACAGUAGGUAGCUGGUGAGCACGAAAGAUUGUUGAUGUUUCCAGAGUAUUCUGUGUAUUCAGUAUCAAUGCUAAAUAGUUGAUUUGCAACUUUUCAAAGCUAGUAUAGUGAUUCACAUUGGGAAUGGCCUCACAGCUGAAUUUUGGAACUCAUCUUGUAUGGAGGGUAAGGCUCCUAGGGACAUUGCUCCUAACCUGUAUAAGCUAGCAUGGAGAAAGCACAGGUAGGAGGAGAUAAACGAAUAUAACUGGACAAGGGGGCUAUGGAGAAUGAGUAGUAUCACCGAAAUGGAAGAAUUUGUGACAUUAUGGGACUAGGUCCAGAACAUCUCCUUCAAUGAUGAACCUGAUGACAUUGUCUAGCGUUGGACUAUAGAUGGGAACUAUACUGCUAAAUCUGCCUAUGUGGUUCAAUUUGAAGGAUCUUACUGCUCCUUCAGAGCAAACGACAUCUGGAAGGCACAAAUGGAGGGAAAAUAUAAAUUCUUCGCCUGGCUGCUGCUACAAACCAAAAUAUUAACUGCUGACAAGCUGCUCGCAAGGAAUUGGCCUUGCAACCCAAUUUACCCUUUGUGUGAAGGGGCACUUGAAACUGCCGUUCACCUAUGUAUUCAGUGUCCAUUUGCUUUACAGGUUUGGCAAUUGGUCAGUAAUUGGGUUACUGACAUGGUUGCUCUGCCGACGACAAAUGCUUCGAUUCAGGAAUGGUGGUCAUCCUCCGUGACAGCAAUCGUGAAGGAAAAGAGUAGGCAUCCUAAUUUACACGGCUUGGAACUUGUGGAAGGAGAGAAAUAGAGAGUGUUUGAAGGCAACAGGUCCAAUUCAUGGCAGGUCUUCCACCUUGAUCAAGGAGGAAAUUCGAAUGCGGCACAUGGCCUGUGGGGCACCGAGUGCUCACUAGGAUUUUCAUAAUGCAUAUGUCUGUAAUGAGGGUUGAGCACAAUGUUCAUCAUGUAAACCAUCUAAUGUAAUCUUGACACAUUCUCUUCUUCUUAUGAUAUGGCAGAGCUCCUGCCCUUUACGUUUCAAAAAAAAAAAGCUAAAUAGUCCCCAAAAUUGACAUGUUAUACCGUGAAAGUAGCUUGUUGUGUCAUCAGACCACAAGUGAACUGCCCACUUCCUGCUGAAGCAACCAAUAUUUGUUGCCUGAUAGCAUCUUGAAUGCUAGCGAUAAUCUCAGAUUGUUCAGGGUCUGUGUCUGUCCUGGCAUCAACUCGAUUCAGUGAAAUAAUAGAUAACACUACGGUAGUGGAUUCUGGAUUGGCACGUAUGGCGUGGCCAUUCCCUAUUCAUGUGGAAGUAGAAAGUCUACAGCCGAGCCAAAAUAGAUCGAAUCACGUAGAAAAUUCAGAUAUAAUAAAAAUAAAUACAUUUGCUACUGUGCUAACAAAUGUAUUGAAUCUUGGUUGAUGUAAAACCGCCUUCCUUUUAACAAUAUGCAGAUUUUCAGCAAUCAAAUCAUUGGUUUAAGAAAAGCUUCGUCAAGAUAGAAACCAUUUCCACUUGAACAGCCAAUAGAAGUGUAAAACUCUGGACUAAAAUAUGAGGAUGAGAAAAAAAAAGAAGAGUACAUUAUUGAGUCAACAAUUAGAGUUUUGGUUUGUCACAAUCUCUACUAUUAUUACACUUGUCACAACAUCUAAGAUUGUUGCUUCUCCUUUUCAGGCUGCUCACCUUGCCAAGCCCAC
rnacentral:lncRNA from 1 species